UGAAAACCACUGGUGUCCACGAUGCCAGUUCAGGCGAGGUUCAUCAGGAUAGCAAAAGCGAAGAUCGUUGCAGACAUGGUUGCUGCCACUGGUACCAUGGACACUGCCAAAGAUGCUGUCGAACUGCCGAGGAGACCCCUGAAGUCACAUCUGGAGAUGAGGAUACCGUAACCGCAGAUCGUUGCAGACAUGGUUGCUGCCGCUGGUACCAUGGACAUUGCCAAAAAUGCUGUCCACCUGAAGAUCGUUGCAGACAUGGUUGCUGCCACUGGUACCAUGGACAUUGCCAAAGAUGCUGUCCACCUGCUGAGGAGACCCCUGAACAUCGUUGCAGACAUGGUUGCUGCCGCUGGUACCAUGGACAUUGCCAAAGAUGCUGUCCGCCUGCUGAGGAGACUUGCAGACAUGGUUGCUGCCACUGGUACCAUGGACAUUGCCAAAGAUGCUGUCGAACUGCUGAGCAGACCCCUGAAGCUACAUCCGGAGAUGAGGUAAAAAAUUAACGCUAAAUAAAUAAGGGCGUGACACAGGAUCCGUGACACCUAUAUUAUUACCUUAAUAUGUUAUGUUGUGUUUGCUUUUAAUGGUUGAUUUCCUAUAUGUGUAAAAGACUUGUGCGGCUUCUCUUUGAAUUGGUGUAGAAUCAACGGGGGAAGCAUGUAAUGAGUACUCAGUUCGAGUGCUCUUCUUAUGUUGUUGUCAUGUUGAAUAAAUAAAUCUACUUGAUCAUCUACUACAAUUGAUGAUGCUUUGACUUUACCUCGUAAACGUGUCAUUUCACAAAUCUCAGGUUUUCAAGCUAAGUCACUUCCUCUUCGAUAUCUUGGCUGUACUCUCUAUUCAGGGAGAAGGAAAAGCAGUUAUUUUUCAGAUAUCUGCACUUCAGUUGCUAAGAGAAUUCUGUCUUGGAAGGAGAAGCUUUUGUCAUCUGGAGGGAGGUUAGUGUUACUCAAAAAUGUUCUAUCAUCUUUGCCUAUUCAUGUCUUAGCUGCUACAACUCCUCCAAAGGGUGUUCUCCGCACCCUUGAGAAAGCAUUUGCAAAUUUUCUAUGGGGCACAACUGAUAAAGGGUCUCGGUAUCAUUGGAUUGCAUGGGAUUCAUUGUGUAAGCCGUAUGCCGAAGGGGGUGUGGGAGUGAGGGCUUUGACUGAUGUGUUUAAUGCCUUUUCAUUGAAGUUAUGGUGGUCUUUAAGGCAACGUCAGUCUCUUUGGGCAGAAUUUAUGUACAAUAAAUAUUUACAUAAAUUGCAUGCUUGCGAAGCGGAAUUUCAGCCUUUACAAUCGGUAACUUGGAAGAGAUUGGUUACAUAUCAGUCUUUGGCAAAUUCCCAUAUUCAAUGGGUGUUGCAGAAUGGCUUGAUAAACUUCUGGCAUGAGAAUUGGACUGGUACAGGUCCUUUAUGUCAGCAGAUCGACAUUUUUGGAGAUCACACAGUGGCGGAUUUUGUUUCAAAUGGUCAAUGGAACAUUCCAAUGCUUCGACAAUGGCUCCCAGAAAACAUUGUAUCUACGAUUCUACAAAUCAUUCCCCCGGAUGUUGUUUCUAAUCAACCUGAUAGGAUGGUGUGGGAUUUAGAAAUUUCUGGUUCAUUUUCCUUUUCUUCAGCCUAUAAGGUGGUCCGCACCGUUGCCAAUUCGUCAAUCUUUUCAUCUACCAUUUGGGUGAAAGACUUGCCAGCAAAAAUCUCAUUCUUUAUGAUGAGAAUGCUAUCUUGGAGACUGCCGGUUCUGGAUGUGUUGCAGCGCUUUGGUGUGUGCGGACCAUCUCGUUGCGUUUGCUGCCAAAAUCCUGGGUUUGAUUCUAUUGAUCAUGUUUUCUGUACAGGUGAAAUCCCUCGCCAAGUUUGGAAAUCGUUUCAGGUUGAUAUUGGCGAGUUUGUCACUCCUUCAACGGUAAAGCAUGCAGUCAUUCAAUGGUGGUUGCUGCCAGCUAAAAACAUUAAGCUUAAACUGGUUUAUCAGCUGCUGCCAUCGCUGAUUUGCUGGCAUCUUUGGAAAGCUAGGAAUACUGCGGUUUGGGAAGGCAAGGUGUUGUCGGUCAUGCAGAUUAAUACUUUUGUUCUUUCUGAUCUCUAUGACAUUUUCCAAUUACAUUUUACAGACAUUGGAGUUGGAAGGUACUCGUGGCCAUGUUUUUACUCUUCACUGGUGAGUUGGCAAAAACCAUUUAAAUUCAUCCUGGUUAGGUGGAUCCCUCCAGUCUUGACGACAUGUAAACUGAAUACCGAUGGUAGUUCUCUUGGUAAUCCGGGAAGGAGUGGCGGUGGGGGGGUUUUGAGAAAUAGCUCGGGGGUUUUUUUGUUGGGUUUUGCGUGUUAUUGGGGUGUCAUACCGAGUUUACAUUCAGAGUUGAAGGCUUUGUUAUUUGGAGUUAAGCUUUGUGUUAUGCGAGGUUUCUUUUGCUUGCAUUUGGAAUCAGAUUCGUCACUUCUUGUCCAAAUGGUUAAGGGGAUUAGUAGAUGUCCAUGGGAUUUGCAACGAGAGCUGGACCAAUUGCUCACUUUUAGGCAUUUCUUUCAAUCCGUCACUCAUUGUUAUCGUCAAGCGAAUUUGCCUGCAGACCGCUUAUCUAAGGUUGGAACUGAGUUAAAGUCCAACAUAGUGUAUGAUUCAUGGUUGGAAUUGCCACGAUUGGUUCGUGGAGACCUCAAGUUGGAUAGGUUAGGUUCUCCUAAUUUUCGGGUUUACUAAUCAUUUGGAUUUCUGGAAUGGGGUCUAGUUCAUCCACACAGAUUCAAGCGUUGUUGCUGUUACUGUUGUUUUGCUAUUGCUGCUGUUAUUUUUUGCUCUCUGGUUGAGCAAUUUCUUUCUUUUUGCACCUCUGUUUGGCAGAUGCUGAUGUAACGUGAUAUUUAUUUAUCAAUAAAAGGUAUAAGGUUUUUUUUAAAAAAAAAAAAAAAAGAUCUUCUUAUGUUUUUUUUCACUUUAUCUUCCUUCAAGAUUUUUGGUGGAAAUGCUUCAUUUAUACGAAUUUUCCUAGUUAGUAAAUGCUUCUAUUACACUUGUACAAUACACAUUUAAAAGUAUAACACAACAAAAGCUUGUGUAGUUCAUAUAUUUAAAAAAUAUUCAUACUUUUCAACUAAACUAUAAAAAUAUGUAAUAAAUUCUUUAUACAUUAUACUUUACGAACUAUACUUUAAAUUUUAAAAAUAUUUAAUAGUAUCACUUAUCAAUAACUCCACAUGUUAAUUUGUCUUCCAAUUCAGUAAAUUAUAGUAGCUAAUUCUCAAAGCUAACCGACACCAAAAUUCCCUCACUUGUUCAGCUCCUAGUGGAUUUAUAUUAAUUACAUUGCAUUUAUUUCCUAAGCAUGAGUUUUGUAACCCCUCAUAUUAAAUCUCAAUGAUUGAUUUUAACGGUUACCCAGGCGUCUAGUAAUUGGUUUGCUAUUAAUUUGAACUAGACAUUUAUUAGGUCUAGUAGAAUUUAUUCCUUCUUAUCACUUAGUUCAUAAACCUUACGAAUCGUUAAAACCAGCUCUAACAUCAGCUAACAAGACUUCUACAAUUUCGGGUUUUGCUUAGAAAUCAGUCUGAUAGGUUAACUUGCUUCGUCCAACUUUAUGAGUUGCUUCUUUUUUCUUUUUUUUUCCAUAUUUGACAUUUCAUCUUACUUUAAUAUGGGGACCAAGUUAGUAUUGUUGACAUUUCAUAUCUAAGACUUCUUAAUUAAUUGAUUUGUUAUAAGAACUAUAACGUAUGCGUGUUUUGUAAGCUUUCAUGUUUUUUUAUUUUUUCAAUUCUUGUGGACCAGCAACGGAUAGUUUCUUCUAGUACCAAUCUUCCUUUGAAGUUCUUUAAUUUUUUUUUUGUGUCCAAAUGUAAAUUAAAAGAACCAACAACUUUGAACAAGUCUAUAUCUAGUAAAGAUAGAUAUAAAGAGGGAUACUAUAUCACUGCAACAAAAAAGGGAUUUGGCGAGGAGCAAAAGUCCACGCCAAAAUUUUUGACUUCGUCGCCAAUUAAUUUCAGCGAGAAAAAUGCUUCCUCGUCAAGUUUCUUGCUAGAUGCUCAUCGCUAAAAGUUAUUAGAGAGGAUGUUGUUGCUUUUCUCGCUAAUGAAACAGAUCAAUAGCAAGGAUUGACCUCCUCGCCAAUCUGAUUCAAAUACUAUGGCGAGAAAAGCUUUCCUCACCACUAAAGUUAAAAACUCCCCACAAAAACCAGUAGUUCCUAGCAAAUAGUCAAGGUGUUCUGCUAGGAAAAAUAGCGCAUCCUUACCAAUAGUAUAGAAUUAGCAAGGAUUCUUUUGACAAAUCUGCAAUGCCUCGUGUACCAGUAAAACAUUUUUGGCCAGGAAAGUUUCCUCUCUAAUAAGCAAUAAUUGAUUAUUGUCUAACUGUUUGGUGGGAAAAUGUUCCUCUCCAAUGCUGUUAUGAACAUUUCUUAAUCCCAUUUAGCAUGCUAAUCUUAAUUCUCUGAGCAAAUUACUGGGUGGUUUUAUUAGAAAAUUUAGCUGCAAAUAGCUUCAAUUUGGCUUCUCAUGUGUCUGUUGUACAUUUUCCAGGUUCUUAUAAGUAUCAAAUUGUUUGGCAAAAUUUUUUUUUAAUGAAUCAUGACCAACGUAGCUGCUCAUUAAAUUUAAACUCAUAAGCCCUAGUAUUUGAUAGCUUUUUGGAAUAUCACUUGGUGCCAACAACCCCCUUUUGCUACUUUGAUAAACAUUCAAUAGAAAACAUACAAAAGCUUUGGUUAGCUAAAAAUAAUUGUUAGCAAAGUAAUACAUCAACAUCCAGCUCUUUCAACAUCUUGAGCCAUACAAAUAGGAAGUGCUUGAAAUCAAUUGGCAAUCCAAAUUUUUUUUAGCUCAUUAACCAUCCAAGAAAUCGCAACUUCAAUAAGUCAUUACAAAAGAAGAUUUCAUCAAGAGAACACCACAAAAAGGAGAAGCAGAAAAAAAAUAUAAGAGAGAGAGAGAGAGAGUUAAACUAGUCAUAUGGACACAUAUUUGUCACCUCAGUAUUUCCAAUUCCUUAAUUCAGUCCAGUUAUCUUGGAACUCUAUCGGCAAUCCAUGGAACAUUUUUUGAAUGACAAUAUGCUGUUGCAACCUUCUGGUGAAGACUUCAAAGGUUCUAUGAUAGGUUGCAUUUUUGUCAUUAAUUCUAUGAUUAUUUUCCUCAUUUAUAUUACCAAAUAUUGUAUUAAUUGAUUGAUUCUACUUAUAUUUGGUAUUUUGUGUCAAUUGUAGGAAGGUGGAGCAAAAAAUAAUAAAAGAGGUGAUUUUUCAAGAGUUUUCCAUUUCAAGAUGGAGUUUACGUGGAGUAUUGGAUGAAAAUUAGGAAACUACCACUUUUUAUUAGAUGUCUUAUUAGGGAACAAUUAGCAAUAGUUGGAGAAGUUUCCUUUUGCAAUUAGAAUUCUAUUUUUAGUUGGCCAAUGGACUGCCGAAAUAAUGGACUUCAAUUAGGAAACAAAGAGAGAAAAAAGGCCGGAAUCCCGCGUGAUUACUACCUUGGAGGGAACAAGAAAAAGGAGACGUCCGCUGGUCUCUUCUUUAGUGAGUCUUUUGGAAAAAACCAAUGGUUAUCGAUGGUGUCCUGCGGAUCUCUCCUGAUGAUGUGUAGCUAAAUCUCCGUUUUCUAGUCGAAUGUCAAUUUGAGGACUCGAUUCCAAACAUAUUUGAUAAGAGAAUAUUUAAUGUACAUUUUGUACAAGUUUGGCAUGAACUUUUGAUGUGUUUUGAGAAGAUUAAAGCCAUAUUUGAACUCUUUUGGUGAUAAAUGCUUAAAUAUUAUGUAAGUGUUCAAAACUUGAUAAAUGAGUGGAUUAAUGCGUUAAUUUUGUGAAAUUGUGAAGGAUAUUGAUAUAUGAAAUUCAUGCACGAGAUGAAGGAAAUGUAAGGAUCGUCUAGAGGAUAAAGUACAAAAGAAACUAGGAGCAAAAAUGAAGAAAAAGGAAAGAAGUGAAAAACUGGAAAUUGAUCAGCACAGAUUUGAGCUCGGAUCCGUGUGAACAAAGGGCGAUCCGAGCCCUCGUCUGCACUUCUGGAGCAGUGCAUCCGAGGCCAGACAAUCUGAGCUCGGAUUAUUAAGAGAAAGACCUCGGAUCAGCCUUGAUCCGAGCUCAGAUCGUAGUGCACACCUCGGAUCCAGGUCUCGGAUCUGCCUCUCUUCUGCAAGUGGCACGGCCGUUUUUUCUCAUUUUCACACAACUUUCCAGCUAUCUUGGGUGAGAGAAUUCGAUGGCACAUGCUUCUGCAACAAAAGGGAAGACAAAAUGAGUUAUUGAUAAGUCAAAACAACAUUUCUUUUGACUUUCUUUACAAAAUCUGAGUUGUUGGAAUCAUGAAGGAGAAGAAAGUGCCUUUCUACCACCUUUUAUGCAGAGAACUAAGGAGAAGUCAGGCAUCACCAUAUGGAGGAGUUUUUCAUCUUGUAACAUUUUUCUCUCUAGCUAGAAGUUCUAAAAACAAGCACUUGGAGAUUUCACUUGUAAUCAUCUUGUACAAGACAUAGCAAAAAUUUGAGGGUUUCACCAUUAAUUGGCUAAGCUUUUCUUUAUCUUUCUUGUACUUGUACUUUAUGAUGUUUUGCAUUAAUAAACUUGUGAGUUUGAUUGUUAUAUUAUUCAUGAGUAGCUAAAUUUCUUUAUCUAGAGAGUAGAUAAAUGAUAUGAAUUGAAUGUGAUUUACACUUGUUAUAUCUUGUAUUAACUUGUCUAUUUGUGCAGUUGUAAUUACUUGUUGUUGUUUGAUCACCAAUAGCAUGUUUAUAGUUGUUAUUAGUCAAUAAGAAUUGGUAGUAACAAUAGAAAAAAUAUGAGUAGAGCUUGAGUUGUAUGUUCAUGAAAAUAGAUGUACACUUAAGUGGAUUAGCUAGCAUUUCAUGAAGGAAAACAGAGUAGAACUGGUAGUUCACCAUGAAAAUAGGGAAAACUGGAUUACUCUAGGCCAUUUUAUCAUGAGAAUGAGAUUUGGCAAUAUUGAAAAUGAAUCCCUGGUUAAACAACAAUAAUAACAAGAGGUAAAUCUAUUCAUUUGUGUUGUUUAUACCAUAAGUGGAAUCUACAUCCCUAGAUUUAUUCUUGAGUGAAAUUUAUCCAUUUGCAUUUAGCAUUUGUUAAACUAGAUUUAUAGACAACAACAUUAUAAUUUCUCUGCUCAAAUUCAUUUAUAAGUCUAAAUAAUAGAGAAAAUAAGGGCCUAGUACUUAUUUAAAUUGCUCCUCGUGGGAUCGACUUGAUACAUACCUUACAUUACGAUUUCGACCUGUAUAGUUGCAGUCAACGGGUAUAAAAUCGAAUUCAAACUUGCAUUGAUAUAAAAAUCCCGUCACAUAUGUGAGAUCGAAUUAUUUUACUUAUUUCUUUUAUUCAUUGGUAUUUGUACAUUUUCUGAUUUAACUUCAUAUACUUGUUAUGUUAUUUGAAUGUCAAGGGCUCGAUAUUCGAAUUAACCUAAUAAUCUACUGUUAGAUUAAUUGAUUGAAUCCCUAAUUGUUCAAUUGAUUAAUACCAGUGGCAACUAGCGUGAUUAGUUUCAUGUUAAGGAAACAUAUGAUCUAACUUAAACGAACCCUCGUAGCGUGUUUGUUAAUUAAGGUUGGCUUUUCUAAUUCUUAUUGCAAUUGAGAAAUUAAAUCCUAUAGUCGUACCUAGGGUUAUUUCUUGGUUAGAAAAAUAGUUAAUGGUCGUACCUUAACUAUCGAAAAAGUAAGAAAAGAUUGGUUGUUUAUCGCGUGUAUAACAACUAUAACCAAUCUAUUAAUUAGUAAUUGAAUUAUCUUUGCAUCGAUGAUCAGUUGAAAGGACCAUGUCUGAAAAGUUGCACCUUUGGCUAGAGUUGUAUUGGUUAUUGAUUAAUUCCUGUUUAUUUCUAUUAGUUGUUUCAUUAGUUGAUUAAUUAGUUAUUUUAUAUUUUUCAAAAACCCCCCAUACUUCGGACUCUGGAAGAAAUGAAUUAUCCCCAAUCCCUGUAGAUUCGACCCUGCUCACCGCUAUAUACAAAUUUGUAUUUUUCUUGAGUAGGUAAUUAUUAUUGCACAUGUUCAACACCUGUCAUUCUAUAACUGUAUACAGAGUCAUCUUUUUCAAAGAUUUCCCAUGCUGCAAAAUGUACUCUACGAGCUUUAUUUCACCCUGUUCCUGAAGAGUUUGCUUGAUCCGAUAUACCCGAAUGGGAUGGUUAUUUCUUUCACAAAUAAUUAUGAAUUUGUAGACAGGGCAAGUAGGGUCGUAUCCACAGGGACUGGGUAUAUUUGUUUCUUAAGAAAUCCAAAAUAACAUAGGGGGGUGAUUUUGUAGGAACGACGACAAUAAAAUAAAUUCAAUUAAGAAAAUAAAAAUAAAUAACUAAUUAGAGAUUAAACAACAAUUCACUGAACUUAGAGUAAUAAUAAUUAAAGGCCUAAAUCAAUUAAAACAAGGAAGCAAUUAAAAAUAAAAUAAAGUAGGCAACUAAAAGUCAAAUGGCAAUUCACUGAAAUCAAGAUAAUAUUAAUUAAAGAUCUAUCCAAGAAAUAAUUUCAGCAAUGGUGCACCUAAUUGAUCAUUGAAGCAAAGGCAAUUCCAAUUAUUUAUCAAUAAAUAGGUUAUAACUACCAAACAAGCGAUGGCAGUCAACCCCUCCUUAUUGUGUCGGUGAUCAAGGUACGCCCGUUAACCACUAGUCUAAUUGAGAAAUAACCUUAGGUACGCCCGUAAGAUUUAAUUCCCCAAUUGCCUUACGUAUUAGAGGAGCCCUAUUCUAACCAAAUAACACACUACCAGAGUUAUUUCAGAUUAGCCCGCGUAUCCCCCUGACAUGAAUCUAAUCGUGCCAGUUGUCACUAUUUUAGGACAAUUAAACAAUUACGGAUUUAAUGCCCUAAUUGACAAAUGAGUACCAAAUCAAUUAAUUAUCUGGAUCCAAGACAAUCAAUUAAUUAAAUAACCAUAGGCAUAGUAAUUCAGGAAUAUACGAAUACCAAUAAAUAAAAGGGAAAGACUAAAAUUAAAUCGAUCUCACAAUUUUAGGCAAACCAAAGCCUCCGUUGUCCCUCGGUUAGAUUGAGAAAAUUAGCUCAUGUUCGAUGCGAAAAACCCACAAGAAAUUGUAAAGAGAGCCGCGGCCAUUGUCCCUUGAAAUUGGGGAAAUUCAAUUCGGUUCCAAUCAAGAAGGGAGGCAAGCUACAGAAAGUUAUCAAUUCAGUUUUGCUUGUCUCCCACAUACGAAGGGAAAAACUACUCUAAGAACCAGGGAAGAAAAGUCAAAAGUAAAGCUAUCCCCCUUUUCUCCUGACAUGCGCAGGAGAAGUCCUAAUCAAAAGCUUCAAAAGGAAGAAAAAAAUCUCAUGCUAAGCUAAAGCUAUCCGCCCCCUUCUUCUGUGCAGUUUUUUUCUUAUAUAGUCAGGCUCCGUGCGGCGGCUCCAGGGAGAAGAACGCUUUUGCCAAAAUGACCAAAAAGGCUCAUGUCCCUUCUUCCAAAAAUGCCCUUGCAAGCCUUCUAUUUAAUUUCUUUCCCGAUGACUGUCAAAGUGGCAUUGAUUGUGGUAUUUUUGAUCUACUCUCUGAAAUAAAUGCAAAUUAAGAAAAAUGAAUAGAAUCCAGCAAUUAAUCCACAUCAAGUCAGGUAAUAGGGGAAAUUAAUAAUAAAAUAAAUGAUAAAAUUGCAACCUAUCAUUAAGUAACAUUAGGAUGAUUGCUAUUUAAUUAAAAUUGUCCCACGGUUUAAUUUUGGUGAAGAACUUUUGCUUCUUUUGUUUCUAAAUCAUCAACACUGUGAUCCGUAAGUGGUAACCUUGGGGCUCAUAGAGAGAUGUUCUGCUAGUUCAAAUGGUUACUCUUUAACUCUUCUGUAUUGUCCAAACACUCAUUAAAUUCUAACAGCCAUUCCUUUUCAUUGUAAUGAUUGAUAUGAUUUUGCAACCUGGCAAGCUCUUUUUGAAGCUCAUGCUUUGUUAUAUCCUCAUGCAACAUUUUAGCUUUCACCUCAAAUUCUAUAGUAUUAGGCCUGAGAAUCCACACGUUCCACAACAUGUUAAGAGGAACAUCUUUGUCUGUUAUUUCAAAGUUGUGUGUGAAUUUUAAUAAUUAUGUUUGUGUCAAUAACUUGAUUAACCUAGAAGGAUUUUUUUUCAUGUUGGGUCAACUUGAUCUUCACAAAACUCCCUAUUAAUUAACCCUCAAACUUCUCAGGGGCCUUUGCAAGAUCCUCAACUAGAGUUCUUCUUAAAUAAAUAAGAUUAAUGUUUUCUUGAAUGAAUAUAGAAGAAUGACUUCUAGGAGUUCUUAAACCUGUAGUCUUUUGGUGUUAUUCCAUGCAUAGCAUCCUCAUCAAGUAAUUGUCAGUAUAUAGGCUUUUAGUUUUGUUAGGUGUUUGAAUGUUUCGUGCAUAAACUGUGCCAUUUAACUAGCUAAUAUAAUAAUGAAUAGCAAUUUACGAUUUUUAAAUUAACUUUAACUCUAUAAUUUGUUGCAAAAAUAUAUAUUACUCUAGAGUGAAAGUGUUGGGAAAGGGGUACCAGUAUAGGUACAAAAUAUCAGAGUUAGCCCAAGAUAAAUUUCUCUUUCCCCAAAUACCAGUUAAAAUAGGAAUAAACCAAAUCACCAAAUAAUAAUACCAGUAGUGAUAAUAAAAUGAAAGGAAAAAUAAAAGGCACAGGACACCAAGAUUUUUACGUGGAAAACCCAAUUGGGAAAAAUCACGAGACCUAAUCCAGUCAAAAACUUCACUAUCACAAUAAUGGGAAUACACAGGUCUAUCCGAAAUAUUCGGAUGAUAAUAAUAUCACCAAUACCAACCAAGCCAAUCUACUAUAAAAUCACCCCCAAAAACUACAACUGUCAAAGAAGUGAAUUUGGAAAGAUGUUACCAAACGAAGAGGAAAUCUAAAAUCUGAACCGAUACAUGAGUAGAGCUUGUCGAGAGGAUCACGUGUUUAAAAUUUCGUCUCAAUCGGGUUUCGAAUCGCCCUCCAAUCAAGACCUUGAAGUCUCUCUCUCUCUAGCCUUUCUCUCUCUUCGUCUCACUCAAGGAGGUGGCGACUGACCUUUUUUCUUCACACGAAAAUCGAAGAAAAGGAAUCAUUUCUUGCGGCUGCUGCUGCCUUUUUUUUUAUAUCACUUGAGAAACCCUCAAGUGUUAGUUAUGUGGGUUGGCCCACAAAUGGGCUGGCCCACGACAUCAACAAUCUCCCCCUCCAGCUCAUUUGGGGGGCUCCAUCAAGCCUGCUUCUUGUUUGCAAAACAAGAGUUUCUCCUUAGGCAAUGCUUUGGUAAACAUGUCAGCACCAUUAUCAUCUGUAUGCACUUUCUCAAGUGUCAACAACUUGGAAUCCAGUACUUCCCGAAUCCAAUGAUAUCUCACAUCAAUAUGUUUGGAUCGAGAGUGAAAUGUGAAGUUCUUACACAAAUGAAUAGCGCUCUGACUGUCACAGUAAAGACUAUACUUGUCUUGUUUCAUACCCAACUCCUGAAGGAAUUUCUACAACCAAAGAGUCUCCUUACAUGCUUCAGUAGUUGCAAUAUACUCUGCCUCCGUAUUAGAAAGAGCGAUACACUUCUGUAGCUUACUUUGCCAAGACACUGCUCCCCCUGCAAAAAUCAUUAAGUACCCAGAUGUGGACUUCCUAUUUUCAAGAUCACCUGCCAUAUCUGCAUCAGUGUAUCCAUCUAGCAUAGUUUUACCAUUGCCGAAACAUAGACACAAUCUAGGAGUUCCCUUGAGAUACCUAAGAAUCCAUUUGACAGCAUUCCAAUGCUCCUUACCAGGAUUAGAGAGAUACCGACUGACUAUUUCAACUGCAUGAGCAAUAUCUGGUCUGGUGCAAACCAUAGCAUACAUCAAGCUACCAACGGCCGAAGCAUAAGGAACCUUUUUCAUGUCUUCUUUAUCUUUCUCACUUGUAGGACACUGCUUGAUAUUCAGUUUAAAGUGACCUGCAAGUGGAGUUGAGACUUCCUUAGCAUUGCUCAUGUUAAACCUGUUGAGCACUUUCUCAAUGUAUUUUUCUUGAGACAACCAAAGCUUCCCAUUUUGCCUGUCUCGUGAGAUUUUCAUCCCCAAUAUCUGUCUAGCCGGACCCAAAUCUUUCAUUGCAAAGGAUUUACUUAACUCCUUUUUCAACCUGUCAAUCUUCACAGUAUCAAGACCAACAAUCAACAUGUCAUCAACAUAUAAUAAGAGAAUAACAAAAUCACCAUCUGAAAGGUUUUUCACAUAAACACAGUGAUCAGAUGUAGUCCUGUGGUACCCAUGGUCUGUCAUGAAGGAAUCAAACUUCUUAUACCAUUGUUUCGGUGCCUGUUUCAACCCAUACAAGCUCUUCUUGAGACGGCAUACAAGAUUUUUCUUGCCACUUUCUCUGAACCCCUCCAGUUACUCCAUGUAGAUCUCCUCUUCCAAGUCGCCAUGCAGGAAGGCUGUCUUCACAUCAAGUUGCUCGAUCUCCAAAUUCAAACUGGCUGCAAUACCAAGAACAACUCGAAUUGAGGACAUUUUUACCACAGGAGAGAAGAUUUCUUCAAAAUCUAUACCUUUCUUUUGACUGAAUCCCUUCACAACCAAUCUUGCUUUAUACUUUGGUUGUGAGGUGUGCUCCUGAGUUUUCAACCUGUAAACCCAUUUGUUCUUUAGAGCUCUCUUACCCUUAGAUAGUUUCACUAAAUCAUAAGUAUGAUUCUUAUGCAGGGACACCAUUUCCUCUUGCAUGACUCGCAACCAAUCUUCUUUGUUCUCAUGCUCUAAAGCCUCACAAUAUGACUCAGGCUCUCCUCCAUCUGUUAACAACAAAUAUUCAUGAGGAUUAUACCUGCUAGAAGGUCUCCUCUCUCUGGUAGAUCUCCUAAGCUCAUCUUGUGGUGGCGGUGGUGGUGUAGGUGGCUCCUCAUGUUCAGAUUCAUCAGCAGUAGGAUUAUUACCAUCAUUAAUAUCCUCUCUCUGCUCCGCCUCAGCUCCCCCUUGAUUAAAAUCAACAGGUACUGAAAUUGGAUCUGGAUCUGAAUUUGAGCUAGCAGGAAUGUCAUCUGAGAAUUUUGAGUUGUCACUUUUAUCAAUGUUUUCAAUGGUUUGAUCUUCAAAGAAGACAACAUCUCUACUCCUGAUCACUUUCUUCUCAAUAGGAUCAUACAACCUAUAACUAAAAUCUUCAAUUCCAUAAUCCAAGAAAAUGCAUUGCUUUGAUUUUACAUCAAGUUUUGACCUCUCAUCCUUGGGAAUAUGAACAAAUGCCCGGCAACUGAAAACUCUCAAAUGCUUAAAUGACACAUCUUUUCCUGUCCAUACCCUCUCUGGGAUAUCACCAUCCAGAGGGACUGAUGGAGAAAGAUUUAUCAAAUCAAUUGCAGUCCUCAUUGUCUCACCCCAAAAGGGUUUUGGCAAUUUAGCAUUAGAGAGCAUACAUCUAACCCGCUCAGUGAUGGAUCUGUUCAUCCUCUCUGCUACUCCAUUCUCUUGAGGAGUUUUCGGUACAGUUUUCUCCAAUCUGAUUCCAUGGGACUUGCAAUAGAUUUCAAAUGGUUCUCUGUACUCACCACCAUUAUCAGCACGUACACACUUUAACUGCUUACCAGUUUCUCUUUCAACUUUGCUAUGAAAGUCUUUAAACACAUCCAAAACCUGAUCUUUGGAUUUCAAAGUAAAACACCAAACCUUUCUAACAAAGUCAUCAAUAAAAGUAACAAAAUAAAUAGCACCACCAAGAGACUUAUCUUUCGUAUAGCAAACAUCAGUGUGCACCAAUUCUAAAACAUUUAAUUUCCUAGAUGGAGGAAAAUUUUUGAAUGCAACUCUGUGUUGUUUUCUAUAAAUGCAGUCAACACAAGGUUUAAGUGCAUUACCUCUAAUUUCAGGUAGGAGCUGUUUGCGAACAAGUGUCUGAAUCCCCUUUUCACCCAUGUGUCCAAGUCGCCUAUGCCAAAGGUCAAUUGAGGAAUCACGAACUGCGUUCACUUCUCCCUUCCUCAACUUGGCAUGCAUCACGUAGAGGGUACUGUACUUCUUUUCUCUGGCAACAACGAGAUUUCCUUUGCUGAGUUUCCGUUUGCCUCCACCUUGCGAGCUAUAGUAGCCCUUAUCGUCCAGUUUUCCUAUAGAAAUAAAGUUAAGUCGAAUAUCAGGAACAUGUCGAAUAUUUCUCAAUAUCAGCUGACACCCGGUAUCUGUGUCCAAGUAUAUGUCUCCCAUGCCAACAACUUUGCAUGAGAUCUCAUUUCCCAUCCCAACACAUCCGAAAUCUCCUUCGUUUUAGGUUGAGAAGAAAUGCCUGUGAGAAGUAACAAGGUAGGAUGCACCUGAAUCAACUACCCAAUCACUGUCAUAGUGAAUAAUAUUCACCUAACCAUCAUCACAGAACACAAACAUGUCAUCAUGAGCUGCCACAACUGCUGUAGUAUCCUCAUUAUCUUUUUCCUUCGCCUUACCCUUUUUCUCAGCCUGAUCCCGUUUUAGGAUUCUACACUCCUUCAUAUAAUGUCCAUUCUUUUUACAAUAAUAGCAUGCAACAUUUUUUCGCGACUCAGAUCUGUCUCUGGAUUUGUCAUUCCUGUUGUGGGGUUCUCUACUUUUGUUUCUUCCUCUUCUUUCUUUCUUUUCUGUCACCAGGGCCUGGGACUCAUAGACAAUUCCUUGUUCCUUCCUCCUGAAGUCUUCAUUCAUCACGGCCUCUUUUGCAAUAGUCAUGGUCAACACACCAUUCGGAGCUGAAUUACUGAUGGAGACCACCAUGGUUUCCCAACUAUCCGGUAUUGAACUGAAUAAUAAUAAAGCCUGCAUUUCAUCAUCCAGAUUCAAAUUUAAUGUAGUUGCCUGGUUUAUCAAUCCCUGAAAGUUACUCAAGUGUUCAGUCAUAUCUUCCCCAUUCUUAUAUCUCAUUCGAGUAAUCUGCUUCAGACAACUAGUCUUUCUUUCAUACAUACUCUCAAGCCUUUUCCAUAAUAUAUCAGCUCUGGUGUCAUUAGCAAAAUGUUGAAAAAUACUUUGACCAAUCCAUUUUCUAAUAUUACCAACAGUUUUCCUGUACAUAUUAGCCCAUUUUUCAUCACUCAUAUCACUUGGUUUACAUUUAUCCCCUAGAACAAGUUCAAACAAAUCUCUACAAUACAGGUAGUCUUCCAUUCUAGGCUUCCAAAUCAAAUAGUUAGUAGCGUUCAAUUUUAUUAUGCAACCACUAUCCGAAUCAUCCAUUUUUUAACAGGUACAAUUGAGCAGUCCAACCUGACUGCUCUGAUACCACUUGUUGGGAAAGGGGUACCAGUAUAGGUACAAAAUAUCAGAGUUAGCCCAAGAUAAAUUUCUCUUUCCCCAAGUACCAGUUAAAAUAGGAAUAAACUAAAUCACCAAAUAAUAAUACCAGCAGUGAUAAUAAAAUGCAAGGAAAAAUAAAAGGCACAGGACACCAAGAUUUUUACGUGAAAAAUCCAAUUGGAAAAAAUCACGGGACCUAGUCCAGUCAAAAACUCCACUAUCACAAUAAUGGGAAUACACAGGUCUACCCGAAAUAUUCGGAUAAUAAUAAUAUCACCAAUACCAACCAAGCCAAUCUGCUAUAAAAUCACCCCCAAAAACUACAACUGUCAAAGAAGUGAGUUUGGAAAGGUGUUACCAAACGAAGAGAAAAUCUGAAAUCUGAACCGAUAGAUGAGUAGACCUUGUCGAGAAGAUCACGUGUGUAAAAUUUCGUCUCAAUCGGGUUUUGAAUCGCCCUCCAAUCAAGACCUUGAAGUCUCUCUCUCUCUAGCCUUUCUCUCUCUUCGUCUCACUCAAGGAGGUGGCGGCUGACCUUUUUUCUUCACACGAAGACUGAAGAAAAGGAAUCACUUCUUGCGGCUGCUGCUGCCUUUUUUUUCAUAUCACUUGAGAAACCCUCAAGUGUUAUUUAUUUGGGUUGGCCCACAAAUGGGCUGGCCCACGGCAUCAACAGAAAGUAUGUUAAAAUUGGAAAAAAAAUUGAUAAACAUAUUCAUAUUAAUGGUUUUUGGAAAUUUACCUCCUCAAUUAUCUAUAAAUAUGAAAAUUGUUGUUUAAUGUCUGUAAUCUAUCAUAUCUUUAUCUAAUAUUCGUAUAUUUGAUUGAAAUUUAUUCAAUCACGUAUACCAUCAAUCUAGUGGCAUUUAAAACAAGAAAGUGUAUAACUACUCAAACAGUACGGUGUUAUUUGAUAUAGUAUCCAAAAAAUGCAUCUAUUUCAUAAAUUUAAUUUUUCAACAAUAUUAAAUAGUUCUCCUAUUUGAGUUUCGCUAUAUGAGUUGUAUUAGCACUUCUCAUAUCAAGUGCUAUGCUUGUUCAUGUUUUGAAUUUGUAGGUCAUAACGCAUAAGCAUCAGCUCGUCUGGCCUCUCUUGCUGUACAGGAUUCCAUUCUUUAGUAAGGAUAUUUCCAUCAGUGCUCCUCUUCAAGUCAUAUUUUGUAGCACCAUUAUAUGUCUGACUAAGAAUUUGAAUGGAAAAUUGUUGGACGCCAGAGUGCAAUUGGUCAGUCACAGGCAAGGCCUACCUUUUCUCCGAGUUGCAAAGGUGAUUAGAGCACCAUCCAUUUUUAAAUAUCAGUUUCUGCUUUGUCCACCGAGUCAACUGAUACGAAUUCUAGGUAUUCUUGUAAACUUUUGUCUUUUUGCUGGUGAACGGAUUUGCUUUAUUAUAUUUCUACAAUCUGCUUGUCCUUGAAAUUUUACCUGUUGAUCUUUUCCCUUGCACUUUUAUCCACUAUUAUGCUACAUGUAAUUCAAUGGUUGAAAAUUAUAGAGUAUGCUUCAACCUUACUAGUGUUUUGAUAUUUGCAACAAACUAAUGAAUGAUUGAUGCAUGGUAGUUGGAGUUAAAAAAGGAACGCUUGCCAUCUCUUCGGUGUCUAAUUUUGGUGCUUUGUUAUUUGGCCAACCAUUUGCUAACAGACAAAACUUGGUAUAGAGACAAUUCAAAUUCUUGGAAUUUUGACACCUCUUUAUUCGACAGACAGUUAAGGUGAUUAUAAUUCUUAUAUGUUUGCUAUUAUUGAAAGAAUGAGCUACAUUUUCCAGUAUCCAGUGGUUUCAUUGAUGGUACGAGAUGUUUUGAGUAUUCCUGUUACUACUGGCUUUAGAGUCUACUUUCAGCAUUGAUGGUCAGAUUAUCAACAAAUACUGAAGUACCAUCUUGAGAUCUUCAUGUGGUCUUCAAAACAGUUGAAAGAAACAUUUUCUACAAGUUCUCUUGUUUAAAGACCAAAUUCUGUAGAAUUAAGAAAAGGAUUUGUGAACUUGAACUUGAACUUGGGCAGUCUAACCAGGUAAUUGAUGGACAAAACUGUGUAAUCUCUAAGAAGUUUCAGAAUAAUCAGAUGGCAUGCAUAAUUCUUGUGGCAGUUUUUGCUUGAUACGGUGUCUCUUUAAUUACUUCCAUUGUUUCCUAUUUCUCUAACAUAUGUACAUUGAUAAGUUUGUUAAAUGCAACCAUUGGGAUUGACCCAAUAGUCAGGGGAAAACUCUUGAAGUUUUCUUUGUUACAAGAUUCAGAAUUCGAACUUUUUGCCUGGUAGUUGAGGUUAGGAAGGGUAUGGGGAAAGAUGGGAAGGGAAAAAAAAGAUAAGUAUGUUAAAUGCACUUAUAUAAUAAAUAUAAGUAUGUUGAUGGUGCAUUUAUAAUCUACUAAAAAGGCACAUAUUCUACUAGAAAAAGCACGUGCGCUACACUUGAUUUUGCUAAACAAAAUAAAAGUAUGUGCUAAGCAUAUAUGAUAUAAGGAUUGAUCUUAUUUAUGGAGAUUUCGUAAAUAUUCUAUUUCAGAAGUAAAAAAUUAAACACAAUCGGAAUUUUCUUUUUUCUUUUUCAAAAUUAGAUGUAGUUAUUAAUUCAGAUCUGGCAUGUACACAAUGAAAACUAAAGGAUGGUAAAACCUGAUAUUGAUGACUUACACACGUUUAUAUCUCUGCUCCUAUUUCUUGAAAUGCUUAGCUGUACAAAUUGUGGGAGUUUCAACAUGUCAAGCUGAUGUUUAAGAGACUAGUAUGUAGAAAUUGUUAGUUGCUCAAAUUUGUAUUUGAUACUACAGUUAUUCAAAGUUAUUAAUUGUAAUGUGCCUUUUCGUGAUCCCCCUAAGUUCCCACAUCAAUUUGUGGCCAACCGUUAGAUUUGGGGCAUUAUGCUUCCACAUUGGGUGAGUUUGGACCGGUGGUGCUAUGGUUCAAAAUAUGCAAGGGAAUACAAGAGCUAAGUGUUUUAAUCCCACGUCAAAUGGGAAGAAAUGAAAAGGAUUGGAAAAUAAGCUCAAGGUAUAUGGGGUAAUAAUAAAUUGGUUAAUGACCUUUUUGCUGAGGUUUCUGUCCAGAAAGUCAUUGGGUUGGUGCUUAGACAUAGAGCAUUACACUUUUCUUCCUACCAAUGCCUCAAAUCUAAAUUAAAUUUGUGUCUAAGAAGAUUUUGGAAAAAGUUCUGACUCAGAACAUUUAUUUUCAUGAUGAACUAUAUUGCACAUUAGUAGAAGAAGAUUUUGGAAAAGUUUCUGACUGAGAGCAUCUAUUCCCAUGACAGACUCUGUUAAUUUAGUGUCAGAAAUGAUGUGGUAAUCCAAAUCCGGCAUAUAUAUAGGCUAAUUUUUGCUAGGCAUCUACUAAAGUGAUUUGAUGAUUUUGAUAGAUCCCUGCCGACUAUUCAUUUUAAAAAAGGCUAGGUUAGUGAACUCAUCUAUUUUCCAUUUUAAGGGCCUCCUUAAGUAGUCUUCUUUAGUGCAAUACUUAUCCAGAAGUGCAUGAAAUUCAAUACUUAUUAUGCAAUCUGUGUUAUUAUUUUAAGUCUGUUGUAAAUUUUUGUUUUAAAGAUCAUAAAUGUUUGGUGCAUGAAUAAUAUAUUGAUUUGGCAAUAUUUAGAUUUUCGAAGUUGGCAUUUCACUUUAAAAUGUUUUGGAGAAUUCUUGUUGCAUUGCUUGAAAAACUUUGCUAUAAAAAAGAUUGUUUUGUGUCUAUUGAUCACUCCAAGGAUUGUAAAGUAUGCCUCCUUGAACUUAUGUUAUGAAUCUCAAGGACUGAAGUGGAAAGAAACUUUUAGUUCAGGGGGGAAAUUGUAAUUCAAUUGCUUUUUGACUAAUAAGAGUAGAAUUGGUUGGGCAGGAAAAGUAGCUAGCAAGGAAUAACCAACAUUGCUGACGUGGCCAGUUUGUUAGAAAGUAUUUACGGGAAUCAACUUGCUGUAUGUACUAGAUGGCCAACAGAAGAAUGUAGGCAAUGAGUUGUACCAUUUUCUUUUUCUUGGAUCUGAAUAAACUCUCUUUCUCUCUCUUCUUCUUACUGUCUCAUUUCCUUCCUUCUCUUUUCUUCCGGCUCAAGACAUAAAACUAUUCUUGGGAGACGAGAAUUUUUUAGGAGCACUGGUGACUAGUCUUGUGGGGAGAAAAACAACGAGCCUGUCCUCUUUGUCUUUUUUUUUUCUUUCGUUUUCUAUUUUACUGGAUGCUUAUGCAAUUUACUUCAAUUAAAUUGUGUUGCUUGAUCCCGAUGAUGUGCAACUAAAUUUUCCAUUUCUAGCCAAGGAAUAACGUGGAUUUGGGUCAUCAACAAUUGUGAGAUCUAACUAUUUUUAUUUUUUUCUUUUAUUCGUUAGCAUUCGUAUAUUUUCUGGUUUAAUUACUCAUGGGUGUUAGUUGUUUGAAUAUCAAAAGCAUAUAUUUAAAUCAAGCUAACGAACUAUUGCCAGUUAAGACAGUUUGGCAGUUAGGAAUUAAUCAAAGAGAUGGCUGAGAACUCCCAACAGUUUGGCACAAGAGAGGACGUUUCAAGUUAUCGUGUGAAUGAGGUGAGCAUUUCAUCGAUGCAAGAGCAAUUGGUUGAGUUAAUUUCUAUGUUUCGCCAAAUAGCAAUGGGGAAGGUGCAACAAGUCAAGAAAUGUGAAAUUUGCAAGGAUGUAAACCAUCCCACCGAUGAAUGCCUAAUGCUACAAGAUGAUAACACAAAACAAGUAAACAUGGGUAGGUACGUACCCGUGCCCUGUAGGCAGUAUAACCCUUACUCCAACACAUAUAAUCCGGGUUGGAGGGACCACCCAAACUUUAAUUAUGGGGGAAAUAAGCAAAAUUUGGUCCCCAAUAGACAGCAAGGGUUUCAGCCACGACAAUCAUCAAGACCCCAACCCUCUUCAUCUCAUUUGAACACGUCUCUUGAAGAUAUAGUCAAGACGUUGGUCGCUAAUACCUUGCAAUUUCAAUAGAAGACAGAGGCAAGCAUACAAGAUCUCAAAACUUAGAUAAGUCAGAUGGCCUUUUCGAUGAACCGUCUGGAGUUUCAAGGGCAAAGAAGACUACCUUCUCAACUUGAGGUGAAUCUAAAGAACAUAAAUGUCAUGACCCUCAAAAGUGGAAAUGAAGUUGAAGGGCCAAAACCUAUAGUUCCUAAGGACAAGAGCAAAGAUCAAAUUGAAAAGGAGUUGAAAGAAGAAGGAAUAAGCAAGCUAACUCCUGAGGUAAUUUCAACCUCUUUAUUUAAAACUAAUACUAACCUACCACCUUUCUCUAGUAGGUUGGAGAAGCCAAAAAUGCAGGAUAAGAAGAAGGAGAUCUUAUAGGUGUUCAAGAAGGAGAAGAUAAACAUCCCUCUAUUGGAUGCAAUUAAGCAAGUGCCCAAAUAUGCCAAAUUUCUAAAGGAUUUAUACGUCGAUUGAAAGAAAUUGAGAGGCGAUGAAAGAAUUGUGAUGAGGGAGAAUGUUUUAGCUGUGUUACAAAAGAAACUUCCACCCAAAUGUGAAGACUCAAGUAUGUUUUAUAUCCCUCAUCGUAUUGAAAAUACUAAGACCAGAAAGACUAUACUAGAUCUAGGAGUUUCCAUUAAUGUGAUGCCGAAAAAUAUCUAUACCUCCUUAAACCUAGGACCUUUAAAGGAAACAGGCAUUAUAAUUCAGCUAGCCGAUCGGACUAAUGCAUAUCCUGAUGGAUUAGUUGAAGAUUUUUCAGUUCAGAUUAAUGAAUUAGUAUUUUCAACUAACUUUCAUUUGCUUUACAUGAAUGAUAAGCGUUCACUAAAUUCAUCACCUGUUAUACUAGGGAGACCCUUUUUGAGUAUAGUCGAAACAGAAAUAAAUGUCAAACAGGGCACACUUACAAUGAAAUUUGAUGGGGAGGUGAUCCAUUUCAGUAUAUUUAAAACCACGAAAUACCUAUCUGACUCCCAUACUAUUUUUGCCAUGAGUGUAAUUGACCCUGUGGUAUAGAAAAUUUUUGAGAUUGAUGACAGGGAUGAACUAGAAGUUGUUCUCACCAAAUAUCUUGAGUUGGGGACAACCUAUGAUGUGGCGUUGAGUGAGGAGUUGAAAUGCAUAGUUAGAGCACUACAGUCAAUGGCACCUACUAUAAUAAGGUAUGAACUUGCACUACUCUUUAUACCCGAUUCUAAUCAAAGGUUGCUACCUUCAGUGAUGCAAGCACCUGAAGUGGAAUUGAAAACCCUGCUGGGUCAUUUGAAGUAUACAUUCUUGGGUGAUAAAAAUAUUUUUCCAAUUAUCAUUUCUGCCACCUAAUCAAGAGGACAGGUUGAUCCGAAUCCUUAGGAACCACAAAGAGGUGAUAGGAUGGAUAAUAACUGACAUUAAAGGCAUAAGUCCCUCUGUGUGCAUGCAUAGAAUAUGGCAUAAAGAAGGUGCAAAGCCUGUAAGACAAGCACAUAGACGGCUAAAUUCCCUAAUGAUGGAAGUGGUAAAAAAGAAAAUACUCAAGUUUCUAGAUGUGGGGAUGAUUUAUGCCAUCUUUGAUAGCCUAUGGGUGAACCCAGUGUAAAUGGUUUCAAAGGAGGCAGGAGUCACAAUUGAAGUCAAUCAUGAUGGGGAGCUUGUUCUUGCUCACAAAUCAACGAGAUGGCGCCAGUGCGUCGAUUAUCGGAAACUAAAUGCAAUCACAAAAAAGGAUCAUUAUUCUCUUUCUUUCAUUGAUCAAAUCAUUGAAAAAUUAACUUAUCGUGGUUAAUACUGUUCUCUUGAUGAUUUUUUAGGGUAUUUUCAAAUUGGAAUAGUACUGGAGGACUAGGAGAAAACUCCUUUCACAUGCCCAUUCAAUACCUUCGUAUAUAGAAGAAUGCCCUUUGAAUUGUGUAAAACUCCCGCAACCUUUUAGAAGUGUAUGGUAAGUAUUUUCUCCGAAUAUGUUGAGAAAAUAAUAGAGGUCUUUAUGGAUGAUUCCGUGUCUAUGGUGAUUGAUAAGUGCAUAUUUUACGUGUUUUAAGUGUGUUUUAUUAGUUAGUUUUGGUGUGUUUUAUUAGUUAGUUUUGGUGUGUUUUAUUUAGUUUUAUAACUAAUUAACUAAGUUACUAGUGAAAAUAUGCAUUUUGUGGUUUAAAGUGUGAAAGUUGCAUUUCUGUGGAUUUUAAUGGUAAAAACUUCAUGUUUUUAUAGAUUUAAUGAUUCAAUCAUCAAAUACCAUGAAUUGAGAAGAUAAUUGGAUGAUUGAUGAUGGUUUGAAAUGAUAAAAAAGAGAAUAUAAAACGCAAGAGAUGAAAUGCAAUUAAAGGAAGUUUUCUAGCUUUGACACCUUGUGGUAUUUCGGGUAUAUCUUAAGUCACAAACAUUGGAUUGAGGUGAUUCUUGAACCAUUUUGAAGAUAACCAAUAGAUCUAUAUUUAAUAUGAGACAUCGAAGUCCAGUUCAAUUGUUUUCAUUGUCAAAAAAUUGAAAUAUAGAACUGCAUUUUCAUGAUCGAAAGGUGAAACAGAACUCUGACCAGUUAAGGGUAUUUUAGUUAUUUUUCGGUCCACAGAGCUCCAAAUUGGAUGAUUAUUGAGGCAUUGGAAAGCUAACUCAAAAGAUACAACUUUCAUGUUUUCCAUAAGAGCUAAUUUAGCCUCCAUCAUUGAGAAAAUAUCAGUUGAAAUUGGACAAAAAAUAGAGUCAAGAUGAAUUCUACCCAGAAAGUGCAAACCUGCAAAAGUAAUAACGCGUAGACAAUUCACAACCUAAGGUCGCUCCAAUUUCGGCUGCAACUUGCUCUUCAACUUGUGUUAUGUUCAAGCAAGCUUUUUGACCUAUUUUCUUGCAAGAAUUUUGGUGGAAAGUGACCAAGAUAGCUGCCAAAGAAGCUUUACAACUCAAAUCUAGCUUGUUUAUGGUCUUAAGAGGAAUCUUAACAUGAUUUAACACUUUGUCUUUUGCAUGGAAUUCCUCUAUAAAUAGCAAUCUUUGGAGACUAUUUUCACAACUUUGGAAGGCUAGAAAAAUUUCACAAAAAUGUAGUUUUCACUAGAGUUUUCUUAGUUCAUUAGUUAGGGUAGUAUAGUAUAGUUAGAAUAGUUUAUCUUUCUUGUAUUUAUAGUUUGAUUUGGAUGAAAAUUUGAAAAGCAAAGAUGGAGAGAUAGAACUCAUGUGACAGGAGUGAUUUCUCUCCUUUCCCUUUCUCUUUUGUAUUUAAGUUCAUGUUUAACUAUAAUACAAGUUUGGAUCUUGUUUUCAUGUUUUGCUAAAGUUUAUGCCUAGAGUUAUGGAUGAACUUUCUAUAUCUUGUUAGUGAUAUUUACUUGGUUAUUUGAUGAUAUUAUUUUGAACAAGUUAUUUAUCACUUUUGCUUAUUUAAUCAUGAUUAACCAGCCAUUAAUUGUGAUAAUCUUAAGGUGUUAAGUUUGCAAUGAGAAUUGAAUUUAACACUAGUUCAAGGAAGUGAUAAACCUAGGGAGUACACUCACGAGAGUAGAGGUGCACUUUUGUGGCUUUAGUGACUUGUUUCAUGUCAUUUCAUAGAAGAAAUAAACUUGUAGUUAAUUUCAUAAAUACGAGAGUAGGUACGGUUUAGCUAUAAGUAUAGUUGAUUCACCACGAGAGUAGGUUUCACAUACAUUAAGAAAUUACGCCAUAACUAGCCAAGAUAAUAGCAUUCACUUAACCGGUAACUUCAUUUGCAAGAAUAGUAAGGAAUUCCAUACCUCUAGGAGUUUCCUAUUGUAUUUUUGUUACUUUUAUAGUGUAGAUUUAAUUUAUUGCACUAGUGAUAGUCUAAAUAAUAAAGGAGUUCGAAAAACAUCGGUAAUUGAUAAUUUUCUCUGUGGGAUCGACACCUAAUACCCCUAUACUCAAUAAACAACUCGUAUACUUGCAAAAAAUCAUGUGUGGGGUAUUUAGGAUUUAUAAAUGUAAAAUUUGAUUGUGGAAUGAACUAAUUGUUAUGUGUAUACCCCGCGCUCGUCAGUGAUAGAUUUGAUGAGUGACUUAAGAAUUUGACUCUAAUUGUUCAAAGAUGCAUCAAAACUAAUCUUGUAUUCAAUUAAAAAAAAUGUCAUUCUAUGGUUGAGUACGGAAUAGUUCUAGGUCAUGUCGUAUCAUCUAAGGGUAUUGAAGUUGAUAAUGCAAAAAUAGACCUUAUAUCUUCCUUACCGUACCCCACUAAUCUGCGAAAAGUAUGUUCCUUUUUGGGACAUGUAGGUUUUUAUUGGAGAUUCAUCAAGGACUUCUAAAAACUUGGAACACCAUUGUUUAGACUCUUGCAAAAGGACGUAACAUUUAAUUUUGAUGAGAAAUGCAAGAAGGCGUUUGAUUGUUUAAAGGAGUUGUUGAUUUCCCCACAUAUCAUCAUAUAACAUCCAGACUGAAAUCUCCCAUUCGAGAUCAUGUAUAAUGCAAGUGACAGUGCAAUAGGGGCGUUACUGGGCCAAAGGACCGGAAAGGCUGCACAUGCAAUCUAUUAUGCAUCUAAGGCUUUGAAUGGAACUCAACUCAAUUAUACAAUCACAGAAAAUGAGCUUUUAGCAGUUAUUUUUGCUUUAGAAAAAUUUCGUUCUUAUUUAUUAGAAGAUAAAGUUAUUGUGUAUUCUGACUAUACAGCGCUAUGGUACUUGAUGACCAAGAAGGAUGCUAAACCAAAGUUGAUAAGAUGGAUUUUGCUUUUAUAUGAGUUCAAUUUGAAAAUUCAUGAUAAAAAGGGAGGAGAGAAUUUAGUUGCCGAUCAUUUUAGUCGAUUGCCUAUUGUUAAGGAUGAUUUUAUAUUGAGGAAAACUUUUCCUAAUGAGCAACUAUUUUUUACUAAUCCCUCUCGUCCUUGGUAUGCGGAUAUUAUUAAUUUCUUGACCACUAAUCAAUUGCUUGCACAUUGGUCGAAAACAAAAUGAGAUAAGCUCAAAUGUGAUGCUAAGUAUUACUUAUGGAAUGACCCCUAUUUAUAGAGGCAAUGUGCAGAUCAAGUACUGCGUAGAUGUGUAAUUGAGAGUGAAUUUAAUUUAAUUUUAACAUUUUAUCACUCUUAUGCAUGUGGAGACCAAUUUAGACCACAAAGAAUAGCUCGUAAAGUAUUAGAAAGCGAUUUUUAUUGGCCUACAAUUUUCAAAGAUACAUACUUGUUUUGUAUGUCAUGUUAUAGAUGUCAAAGGAUAGGAAAUAUUUCUCAUAGAAACUAGAUGCUACAAAUCCCUAUGAUUUUUUGUGAAAUUUUUGAUGCAUGGGGUAUUGAUUUUAUGGGUCCAUUUCCUUUGUCUUUUGGUUUCCUUUACAUUUUGUUGGCCAUAGAUUAUGUGUCGAAGUAAAUGAAAACAAAAACCACACGAACUAAUGAUUCUAAAGUGGUUGCAUAUUUCAUUCAAUCAUAUAUUUUUGUUCGUUUUGGGGUACCACGAAUUAUAGUAAGUGAUUGAGAAAAACAGUUUUGCAAUAAAAUGUUGACGGCUCUAUUUCGUAAAUAUGGAGUGACUCAUAAGGUAUUUACAUCCUAUCACCCCAAACGAAUGGUCAAGUGAAAAUUUCGAAUAGGGAAAUUAAAUAUAUAUUGGAGAAGAUGGUUCGUCCCGAUAGGAAUGAUUGGAGUUCAUAAUUGAACGAUGUACUCUGGAUUUAUAGGAUAGCCUAUAAGACUCCUAUAAGUAUAUCUCCCUAUAGGUUGGUAUUUGAGAAGCCGUGUCAUUCAUCGGUUGAGCUCGAGCACAAAGCAUAUUGGGGGAUCAAGAAAUGUAACAUGGAUCUUGAUGAGGUUGAAAUACACAGAAAACUCCAAUUACAAGAAUUGAAAGAGUUGAAGAAUGAUACUUACGAGAAUGCAACACUAUAUAAAGAGAAGAUUAAGGUUUUUCAUGACCAAUAAGUUGCAAGGUAAUCAUUUAUAGUUGGGCAAAGAGUUCUUCUCUAUCAAUCUUGUCUAAAGCUCUUGCUAGGUAAGUUGUGCUCUCGUUGGGUUAGUCCAUUUGUUGUGAUUAAUAUUUUUCACUAUGGUGCUAUGGAAAUUCAGAGUAUGCAGACAGAUAAGAAAUUUGUCGUUAAUGGCCAUCAUUUUAAACCCUAUUAUGAAAGUGUUUCAAUGGAGAAUGUGGAGAUAAUAAAUCUUGAAGAUCCCACUUAUGCUGCUUGAGCAAUAUUCGACCAUGUCUAACCAAAGAGGUUAAAAAAAGACGCUUAUUGGGAGGCAAUCAAAUUCUUUUUUUAUUGUUUGUUCACUAAUAUUAUGUGUUUCACUAUGUUUAUCUUAGGUUUUGGUAUUUUAAUUUUAAUUUUUAAUGUUUUAUUGGUUAGAAGACUUUCUCCCAACAAGACGUGCCCACGCCUUAAGGGUACGUGGUAAUGCACAAAUAUCCAAUUCCAUCAUCAGAAAACUAUGGACCAACAUAAUGUGCCCACGUCUUGAGGGUAUGUUGUAAUUCAUAAUUAGCCAACUUUAUCAUCAAAAGAGUUUCAACCAAUAAGACGUGCCCAUGUCUUGUCCUAGCAAGGGAAAAAAAACAAAUUGAACCCAAAAGAAUUUUUUUCUUUCCUUUGUCUUUUCCCUUUUCUAUUUCUUUUCCUUUCCUUCUUUCUUUCUUUGUUCUUUCUUUUUUUCUUUCUUUAUUUCGCUCUUUCUUUUCCCCAGCCGCACGGCCAAAACUCUAUUUGCUGCUUGCCUACCAUCCACUGUUGUUGCCAUUCGCUAGUUUGUCUCUGCUACCAUUGCUAUCAUCGCCGUUCGUCUAAGCCUAUCGCUGGUUUCGCCGUCGCCCGUCUCUAGUUUUGCCGUCGCUUGCUACUGUGCCAUUCACCGCUGCUCGCGCUGCCAUGAACGUCCAUCCUCUGCCAGCGACAGCCAUCGCUCCGCACUUUCUCUGUUGUCUUGUUUCUACUGACCCAAUUUUUGGUAUUCUUGUCCUUCUCUUUUAAAUAUUGUUGGGUUGCUACUUCGGAGUUUAUUAGAAUUUCUUUUUGCAGGGUUGAUUUAAUUUGUUGAUUGGGUAUUCCUCGAAUUGUUGGAUUGGCACUACCUGACAUCUGCUUGUUUUCUGAUGAUGACCACUAACUUGCACUACUAUUUUGCAUCCAUGGGGAUUCAAUGCUGAUUGGAGGUUAUAAACUGUGGUGAAAUUGCCGCUACUUACUUGCCAAUUGCUGAUUGUUGAUCUUGAUAGGGGGUAUUGUUCUUACAUUUCUUGUUUUGUUAUUAAAUAGUGUCACAUCUUUGGGCUCUUUACUGUACACUUUGAUUUGAGAUUGCUUGGCUAUCUUUAGUCGUUUGGCAUACAUUAGAGGCUUGUAUUUCGCCAUUGUCUGACGUUGUUUACUGCUAUUUUUGGAUUCAGUUAUCUAAAUGGCGAAGAAAAAAAAGACCACUAACGCCAAGACCCCUACGACUAAAACCACUCCCCCAUCCCAACCAACUAUACCCACGAUUGACCCUUCUCCGUCCUUCUUUUUCGAGUAAAUGGGCAUGCUUAGGUAGGGACAAAGAGGUCUAUAUCUCCUCACUCUCCCACUUUGGGGGUAAUUUGACUCUCACCAAAGCCGUCAAUAAGCAAAGAUACUCUAAUUUUUAUGAGUGGCGAAUUAUUCCUUGUAAACAUCUUGACCCUCCCAUCAUGGUUUCUUUGAAUUUCUUUGAGAAUAUUGCAUAGAUGUUUACUGCCAUAGGCUGGCGUUGUUAUGCCGAAAUACGAUGUCCUGCUUUUGUUGAAUUGGUUAGGGAGUUUUACGCCACCUUUCAGUUUGAUCUAUCCAUGGGGUAUUCUAUCACAACCCCGAAUGUGAUUCGAUUUCGAUUGAUGGGUUAGGAGUUUAAGUUCUCCAUUACUUAGUUUAAUUUGGCUGUGGGUUCAUCGAUAGUGAGUAUGCCAAUUUUAAGGAAUAUGCCGAGAGUGCUUGUGAUUAUAUCGAACCAUUUUUCUCUUUUCACACCGAGAUUUGAAAGGACAUUUCUAUUGAUGGUGAUUGUUAUAAUCCUAGCCGGUCCAAGAGCUGUUAUCUCAAGGACCUGAGUUCCUGUUAUAUUCAGCACUUUUUAGCCUAUAAUUACUCAGGUAGGAAAGAUAGUUCCGAGACCUUUUCUAAGCCUAAAUUUUUCUUUAUUUGGUGUAUGACUAAAAUAUCAAAGUUAAUUUGGGCUAUUGGCUAGUUUCCCAAUUCAAGACGGUUAUGGUUAAGAAAAACAAACCUUUGAUUCUUGGGUUUUACAUCACACAUUUAGCUAUUCAUUUAGACAUUGUUGAUCCCUAUGACCAUGAUUUACAUUUGGCUUGUAACAUGGACCCUUUAGAUAUGGUUUGUCUAGAGAAAAUGGGUGUAGUGGGACAGGUUGAUGACGCGUGGCAGUUUACUCUUUCGGGGACCACUUGUGUACUUGUUCAUCGUCCUUCCACGUGUGCUAGUACCUCUUCUACUUCCUGAGUAGCCGAUGGCAAGCCUGGACCAUCUACCUCUGCACCUUCUCCAUUGUCGUCUUGGGAUGCUGAGUGGCAAUACCUUUGUGCACAAGUUCACCAUAUGGAUGAACAGUUGACUAAUCUUGCACUUCACAUGCCCCAGAUGUCCUAGACUUUUUGCGGCUUACUUCCACUAUGUGGGUUUUACGCCGCCAUUCCCGCCUCAUCCAUAGCUGUUUGGAGUCCUUCUCCACAUUCUUCAGGAAAGUUUCGUUGUCCCCUUCCUUUUCUUUUCUUUAUUUCUUCCAUUCGGGACAAUAUCAGAUUUAGGUGUAGGGGGAGUUGUACAGUUGGUACUAUUCAUUUUAGGUGUUUUCAUUUUCUUUUUGUCAUUUGUGAGUAUUUUUAUGGAUAUUUGGGAUCGACAAUGGUUAGUUGAUUCCAAUUUUUCUAUUACCAAGUUUUAUUUAUAAGAAUGUAUCGAGUGCAAUAUGAGUAAGUCUAAGAAUGGCUCCUUGGUGAAUAUUUGAGAUUUUGUGACUUUUGCAAUUUUUGGUUAGCUUUUCUAGGCAUUGUGCAUAUUUUUCUAGUAUUUUUCAUGUAAAUUGGUUCAAUUAUUAAUCUUAGUUCUCCAUGUUUGAGGAAAUGAUGCAACCUUGUGUGAUUUUUAACAUUGUUUUGUUGCUAAUUUGUGAAUAGUGUUUGGCUAUAUUCCGGUGGUUAUCGCUACCUAGUAACCGGGAGUGUUCACCUAAAGUAUCGACUUUCGUGUCAAACAGUAGCGGUAGCUAUGAGUAUGUGGCCCUUAAAUGAUGAAAAGUUGAGUAACCGGAUUCCUUCUUUUGGUAGAUGUCAGAAUUUACAUCAAAAGACUUGAAUGGCUAAGGACUAAAUCUUGUCCCUAAAAAAUGAACAAAAAAAAAAUAAAAAAAUAGAGAAAAAAAAGAAAACAAAAAAAAGAAACUGUGCGAGUAUAGAGUUGAUUAUGUUAGCCUGUCGAUCCAUGGGUUUGAUGUUGAGAUUUUGAUUAAUAGUUGAGUCGUUUGCUGAUCAAUGCUAGUCAAAUGUUUAAUCUUCUUAGAUUAGUUAGUCAGGAAUUGGAGAAGUCCUUGGUUUUAAAAGCUAACCGAAGAGUUAUUUCUUGGAACUUGGCUAUCAAUGCUUGAUGUCUACUUUGAUGAUAUUUUAACAAUAGAUGAGUUGAGUGAUAACCAUUGUUGGGUUUCAGUUACUGAUUUGUUGUUUCUCAUACUUGAGAACAAGUAUGUUCUAGGUGUGGGGGGAAAUUGAUAGGGUGCAAAAUUGUUAUUCAAUUUAUGAUUAGUUUUCCCUUUUAUUUUAGCCAAAUAUUGUUUUAAUUGUCGAAUUCUAUUUAUAUUUGGUAUUUGAUGCUAUUGUAGGGCGGUGGAGCGAAAGUUGCUAAAAAGGGACAAUUUUCUUCAAAGUUGAUUGUCAAGUGCGGAGAUGCGGGAUUUGCACGUAAGAGUUUCCUAAUCCAAGAUGGAGUCUGAGCAGAGUAGCGACUUGAGAUUAAGAAAGUUUUUCUUCUAGAGAUUUGAUUUAAUUAGGAAACAAUUAGCCUUAUCUUUUGGGAGUGGUUCCUUUUUCAAUUAGAAGUAUUUUUAUUCUUGAAAGCAAGAAAAUAGGGGAAGGGCCGUUUGACUUUUAGUACUCGACAAAAAACAAAACUUGGGAGACGAGAAUUUUUUGGGAGCGCUGGUGACUAGUCUCGCGGGCAGGAACAGAACAAAGUUGCUGUCCUCUUUGUCAUUGCUUUUACUCUCAUUUUCUAUUUUAUUUGAUGCUUAUGCAAUUUACGUCAAUUAAAUUGUGUUGCUUGAUGCCGAUGACGUGCAACUAAAUUUUGCUUUUCUAGCCAAGAAAUAACGUGAAUUUGGGUCAUCAACAACUAUGAGAUCAAACUGUUUUUAUUAAUUUCUUUUAUUCAUUAGUAUUCGUAUGUUUUCAAGUUUAAUUGCUUAUAGGAGUUAGUUGUUUGAAUAUCAAAGGCGUUUGAUAUUUAAUUCAACCUAACAAACUAUUGCCAGUUAAAACAGUUAAAUUCGUAAUUGUUUAAUUAUUUUAAAUUAGUAGCGACUAGCGUGAUUGGCUUUACGUUAGGAAGACAUAUGAUUUAAUUUAAAUAAACCCUGAUAAUGUGUUUAUUAAUUAGAACAGGACUUUUCUAGUUUCUAAUGCAAUUAAAGAAUUAAAUUUUAUGGAUGUACCUAGGGUUAUUUUUUGGUUAGAAAAGUAGUUAACUAGUGUACCUUAACUAUUGAGAUACUAAGGAAGAGCUGGUUGUGAUCACAUGUUUGGCAACUAUAACCUGUUUAUUAACCAUAAAUGAAAUAAUUCUUGCAUCGAUGAGCAGUUGUUUGACCCGUUUCCAGAGUUAUUUCCUUGGUUAGAGCUCGUUUAUCCUUGAUUUAAAUUUAAUCUGUUUUAGUUUAAUUAUUUUCAAUUUGCAUUGAUUAUUUAUUUUUAAUUGCAAUUUUCCAAACUCCCCCCAAUUAAUUGUCACUUGAAAGAAGCAAAUUUUCACUCGAAACCUUGAGUUUAUAUCUUUUUGAGUAGGAAUUUAUUUUUACACAAGCCUGGCACUUGUCAAUUAACACAAGGUUUCGAGCAAUGCACAGUUUCUUUUGUAUCUAGAAUGGCUAAUGUAGCAAGUCAUAUGCUAGCACAUUUUGCAACAUACCUAGUUUAUGAUAUAAAAUGGGUAAAUGAUUUCCCAAUUCGACUAAUAGAAGCAGCUAGGAAGGAUGAGUGGGUGAAUGUCCCCUUUUGUAAUUAACUCUUGUACUUCAAGUGUUGAUAGAUAUACUGAUAGUAUCAUUUGUUGAAAAAAAGAGAAAGUGUUUAUUUGUUUAAUAAAAUGGUCACGGUAGUGUUUAUAUAAUUUUGUAAACUUCGGAAAGUAAAUUACCUCGUUGAAUUUGUAUAAUUUGAUUAUGUUGAAGAAACAUAAUCUUGAAAAAGCAGAGAAAUUUUCUAGUAAAUAUUUAUGUUAUUUUGAUAGCUAAUCAUUGUUCAUAUCAAUAUACUAGCUAUAAACUUAUACUCGCAAUACUACUGUUACGGUAUAAAAUUUCUCGUCAGAGCAAUUUAUAAUUUCAUCCCAUAUUUACCCUUGACUGUUAACCUCAAGUUCUUCAGAUAUCCAUGGGACAGUGUAACCCCUUUGAAGGUCAAUUCUUACACCCUCAUCAAAGUUUCUGGAGUUGCGUAUUAUAGGGGUGCAAACACAAAAACGAGACAUCCUUAAUCAAAUGGAGUUCCUUCUUUUUGCGAUUCAUUCCUCUGCAAAGCUCCUCCUCCUCCGAUUUUAAUAUAUGCCGCUGUUAAAAUAGGAUACUAAUUAGGUGAAUACGAGGACUCUCGUUCGACUCUCGAUCUUUCCUCUCAAAUUACACUAAUAUUUUUAAUCAUACACUCAUCCCCUUACUAACUUCCUAUGGGCCCAAUAUGUUGAGUAGAAUUCGAUUGGAACAACCGAAAAGAAAAGAAAAGAAAACAAAUACAAAACAAUGAAAUGGACACUUAGUCAAGUUGGAACCUAGGAGGAAGUGAGGAGCACAAGUGCGAACAGAUCACCAAGGAAAAAGAAACAAAUUUUUCGAGAAUGCAAUUUGAUUUCAAGCUCAAUCAUAUUCUAAGAGUCAAUGAUAAGAUCGAAAAAUGUAGGUCCAUUGUUAAGAUAUAGACGGAGAUGGUUGCUUAUUGAGCGUUGGAAAUAUUUCAUAAGCAAGUUGUACUUAUAUCUCAACUUGUAUAAUUUUAAUUUAAUAAGAUUAAGUUAAUGACCAUGUCAAUGAUCUCUGCGUCGUGCAUGACAUUCUUUUUUCUUGUACUCUCCAAAAGCCUCCUCCAGCAGUGGCUGCAUGUCUGUACAUGUUCCCCCACAACAAGAAUAAUGAAUCAAUUGCCAUAAUUGCACGCAUUUAAAUUUUCUGAGCUGGUGAUAAAUUGCAUAGUUUUGAUUUUUUCUGUUUCCGGUUCCCACUCUAGCUACUUCUAGAUUUAUUAAUUGGAAAAAAAAGAAGAAGGAAUAAAUUAAACCUUAUUUAAUUACUUUUUUAGUCAGGAUAUCUAUAGUAGAUGUAAUUAUCUCUAUAGAAAUGAAUGAAGCAUCCUAGCUUGUGAUCAUUAUCCUCUGUUGCAAUUCUCUUGUUCAAACUUCAAAUUUAGGUCUUGUUUGCUAAUCCAAUUCAGCAUUUAAAUUUAAUGGAUUCAGAUUUUAAUAUAUUCAGAUGCGUUUGAUAACCAAAAAUUGAACAUCUGAAUUAAUUAAGUGAUACUAAAAUUUUCAGGCAAAACUUACCCCUAAAAAAGAGCGAUAAGUUAUUCACUUAUCACUUAAUGUGAUAUACACUCAAAUAUAUCAGAUUUACUACUUAUAAUAACUUAAUGAAUUCAGAAUUCAAAUUUCAUAUUUCAAUUUUAUCAAACGCACCCUAUCUCACGGCAAACUGAAUAUGAAAUCCAAAGUUGAAAAUCCAAGAUGUUAGAACUUUGAAACCAUAGAGCCUCUAGGCAAAUUCAGCAUUUUUACAUUCUAUUGAUUUAGGGCAUCUUCAAUUAUCAGUUUCAACUCCAUGGUAUAAUAUAGAUAUUACCUCUAAUAGUUGUACGCACUUACACAACAAAUACAGAUUGUGAAAUUAAUUGUUUAAGUUUGAUAUUUUGUAGGCUUUGGGAUAUAAUUUUCACGUUUAGGAAAAAGAAAAUAUGUUAGUAAGUAAUAAUGUGAUACCCCUUGUCCCACGUUGGAAGUGGGAGAGGAAAAGGAUUGAUAUAUAUGCAAGAUUUGGUCGCAUAAGUUACUAGUUACUUGGGCUAACCAUGUCGGAAAGUGUAUUUCGACACAAAAAUUACUUACGCCAACCAUGGGCUUGGAUGGUGAUAAAUAACUUACUAGAAGCCAGGCAUGUUUAUGUUUAGAUGUCCUGAAAGCAGAGUAGUUCAGAAUCUAGAUAAUGGUAACGAUAUGAUGAGAAUGUGAAGUUAUUUGGUAAACUUUAUAGAUUAAUAAUUUCAUCAAGGCAUCGUAUAUAACCAUGAUGACACAAUCUCAACUUUCAUUCUUUUGUUAAAUCUUAGUUUUUUUCUCUUAAAUUUUUUCGAAUAAAGGAAUGAUGGAAUUUAAGCAGUAGAGGGGUGGAAGGGGAAUUUGAAUUCAAAACCUCUAAUUUCUAAGUUUUUCACUAAGCAAUCGUCAAAACCAAAAAAAAAAAAAAAUUAAAAGAAAAAAAAAAUUAGCACCUUAUGGUCAAUGCUCCUGUUCGAAGAUUUAUUCCUUUGGUUUGUCAUCAUCUCCCUCUAUGAAAUCUAAGUACCCUUGGUUGACAAUUUGUUUCCCUGAGCAUCCAUCAACACUUUUAUAUAGUAUUUCUUUUAAUAUAGUAUUAGAUUAGAUUAGAUUAGAUUAGAUUAUCAAUGCACCAUCAAUAUAGUAUUAGAUUAUCAAUGCACCAUCAAAACACUUUUAUAUAGUAUUAGAUUAGAUUAGAUUAUCAAUGCACCAUCAAUAUCCUUAAAUAUAAAAGCUUAAGUAUAGUAAUCAAAAUACUGUUAGUAAUCUGUAUGAUUAUUUUUUAUCCUUUAAUGUUUUAGUUUUAGGAAGAUCACAAAUGCUGCGUAUAAAGCAUGCCAUAGGCUAAAUUAAGCUAAAUUAAGUACAUUGCUAAAAUGGAGAGCAUUGCUAAAUUAAGUACUUUAAGAUAAAGACUUAAGCAGCCAGAUCCAUUUGAUGUCAGCUGCUUCAAUAUCCACCUCAAAAUAAAUUAGCCCUUGUUCUAGAUUAGCUUAAUGCUAAGUCCCUUCACCAUUCUUAGUAAUAAUUCAAUUCUGCCUCAAUUUUCUUCUGAUCUUCAAGGUAAAUGUACGAUAAAUUUCAAAAUAUAUCCCAAAUAUAUGAAUUUCUUGAAACCAUCCUUCAAUCUCAUUACCUACUCAACAAAAUGUUCCAUAAACACAAAUAUAUUAAUGAACUUGGAGUUGAUUUGAAGAAUUGACGAGAACCGCAAGCUAGAAUUUUUCAUAUAUUCAAACAAGAAAUUGGAAAAAUCUGACUAGCUUGCAACGAGUACUACAUCUCAAGACAAGGGAUCUUUUCAGUCACUCUUUAAUUGUAUCGAAGACCUACUUGCAUCUAUGAAUAAGCAAUACUGAGUGAUUUUAGAUGUGGAGUUGAUUCCAUGUGGUAGGACAACUUUGGUUUUCAAAAAUAAGGGCAGUCCAAUUCACUCAAUACAAAAAAAAAAUUUUAAAUGAUAAUAUUCAAAGGAACGUCUAUCUUACCUAAAAAAACAAACAAACAAAAAAAAAAACAAUAAAAAGGAGAUUGAUAUCCUAUCCAGUAUCCACAGAUUGAACAAUAGCCACAUUAUCUUAUAAUUCUUAAUGAUCAUUAGCUGAACUAUCAACUUUAGCAGUCAAGAAAGGCUGUAACUUGUAUAAGGACAAUAAAUUCUUUAUUCCGGCGUCCGGAGACUUGAGACGUGGACGCUUCAUUAGUCAAUAAUAAAGUGUGGAAUUCGACGAAUAUUCUUAGCUCGUUCAAGAUAACAGAGAAGAUUCACUCUUGUACAAGCAACAGGCACAGCUACUUAAACUAUUGGAUAAUUUCAUAAACCUUGGCUGAAGUUUUGGACAAUUUCAGUACCCCUCUUAUUUUCAAUAUUACGCUGACCAUUCUUACUUUAACUAAUGUAGUAACCAAUUCAGCCCAUAUCAGUAAAAGAAAUGGAAUAAAUUGACAAGAAAUGGUGUCAUCACAUUUUGUUCCACAUUUACCCUUAUAGACCCUAAAAGAAAUAUUGUAACAUAGGACAAAUUUUACUUCGUACCUUCGAACUUGAAUCACUUUUCUAUUUUCUUACUCUAAACUUUAAUUUUGGAUGCUUUCCAUGUGAUUGGAGGCAACAGCACAACAGAGCUCUUCUUAAGUCUCUGAUCGUUAGUGUCACAUGACCAUUGCUAAUUAUGCUAUUGCUUUUGAAUGGAAAUAGCAUAAAAGUCUUGGUGAAUGAACAAAUUGAAUAGACCAUUUUGCAGAGCAGUGAAAUAUUCCGAAGCCGUGAAGCACAGUGAUAAGCUACAAAUUAUAGUAAUUUAUAUUUAUUAAUUGUCAAUGAAUGGUUUUAUUUGAGCUAUAAUUAGAAUGGAAGUUGCCUAAUUUAAGUAUAUUUUGGUUUUUGCGGGAAAAGCACGCAAUUGAGGAGGAGAUGAAUAAAAAACGCAACAAAAGAAGAAGAAACGUUGAAAGGGACUUUGUGAGGACUUCUUCCAGUUCCAAUGAUUUCCGGAGAAAUUUCUAAAAUUAUGAUGAAUUUUAAAAAAAUUCUACAAAGGCGGCAUUUUGAGUAUGGGAUUCCGUCCAAGGGGUCUUCACAUUCAGUAAAUGCGAGCUCCCUCUCAGCUCGCAUUUACUGAAUGCGAAGUCUCUUGAAUUUGCAACCAACGAAAUCCAAAAAAAAAAAAAAAAAAAAACAGACCUCGCAUUUGUUAACAGUACGUAGGCCUGACCUCUUAUCCCGUUUCUGAGCAACAGAGCAUGCCACGAAUUUGAAAGCCAUUUGCCAAGUGAAAAGAAAAUGUGCAGCGCAAAUGGGACACAAAAUUGAUUGGGGAGUCCUGUUGAGGUAGUACAAGUGGCAAAUUGGGAGGGGACAGAGAGGCGCAGCUGGCUAUCUUCACAGAAAUGGGUUCCGAACAGGGGUCCAAGCUCUACAAUGGCGCAGAGCUUCCGACGAGAAAGAUGUGAGGGAUUUCGUCUGCCGAUCCUCGAAGCUUGGACUGGUGUCUAGCUCAGCAAAAGAGAAGAGAGAGUGAGCUGGAUGGAGAGAGUGAGCUCCAAUUUCUGUAGGUUAGGAGACAGAUUAGAAUGCCGUAAUUAGAGCUCUGCCUUUUUUUCAGAUUGAGUACAUCGCAUUCGAGAAAUGCGAGGUACCUCAGCUCGCAUUUGGCAUAUACGACCUUUGUUGUUUUUUACUUUUUCUCAAAACCUUUCUCUUUUUUCUUGAAACACUGACCUCGCAUUUGUGAAAUGUGAAGUCUUUGAACUAGCGUUUCACAAAUGUGAAGACCAUAAUCCUAGAAUUAGCUUCAAAAAUUACCCCCCUUGUAAAACAACUUUUUUUUCUAUCACAAUUUAAGAAUUUACUCUGAUUUUUGAGCAUAACAAGUUUGCGGCCAGAGUUAGAGCCGGUCUUCGGGCCGAACUUUAUUGGAAAACCCAUUCAAACUCGAUUUUUGGUAAGUUUUCAAGACCUAUUCCUACCACAUUUCGGAUGCAACUUUGAGAGACUAUAAAUAGGACAUUCUAGGAUAUUUUUAGGUUAGAAAGCAUUUAGCUUACAUUAGUUCAUCCUUUUUAUAUCUUCUUUUCUUGAGAGAUCACAAAGGAAGUGUUGAAGAAUCAAAGAGAAAGUUCAAGAUGGAGAUUGGAGUAGGGAAAAAUUGAGAACUUUUCUUUACUUUUAACUUCUUAUUUUGUCUUUCAUUUGAAUUCUUGGAUUUAUCUAUGAAUAUGUUGAACUAAUUUAUAUCUAGACUUAAGAUUUUGUGAAGGAGAUUUGAUUAUUUGUUCUAGAUAAAUUAUUCAAUUUUUCUUUGAUUUAUCUAUCUUGCCUUUAUUACAUAUUUUUGUUUGGCCACUAUAGAUAUGCUUUUAGGGUUUGUAUUGAAUUGAGAAGCGAUAUACAACCAUAUAUUAGAUAAAUAAACUUACUUAACCUAAUUAUGAAUGUGGGUUAGGAUUUGUAUGGCAUAAUCAUAUCACCUAAAAUCUUAAAGGGUUUAAUUAAAUACCUAUGAUCUUGAGAGCAAUGUGAGAUUUCAUUAAACACAAUUUAGAUGUAUCGAGAGAUAAUUAAAAUACCUUUACGUGAUACAUCUUUGACAUGUUAAGAAAAUAAUUGGAUAAUGAUUCCAAUUAUAAAUCAAAAUUUGAAACUCUAGUUUUUGCUAAUUGUUUUCUCACCUAUAUCUUAUUUGAUUUCAUUACUUAUUUAAUUUCUUAAUUAGUGAUUAAAAACCCUCUAAAUUUAAAUUUUAUUAUUUUUAUUAGAGUAAUUAAAGUAGAAAAAAUUAACUCAUUCCUAUAUGUUUGACCCUGGAGUACUCCAAGUGAAUUAUUAUUUCGAUCAACCCUAUACAGUUAUAGAAAUUCAUCGAUCACACAGCAACUAAAAAAAAAAAUUAAUGCACAAUAAUGUCAUGAACACAGUUCUCAUAUUAGUUGUUCAACAUUCAUGGUGGAUUUCAAUUAGUGGUAAAUAGAUAAAGUCGUCGAAAAAAGUAAUCUAAUUACUAGAUAAUUGAAUUUAUACUACAGCAUAUUUCUUUUUUCUACUGCAAAAACUUAACUAAUUUAAGACAAUGUAGUCCAAGCUAAUUGAAGAUUAAUUUCCCUAAAAAAUGUUCAUGAUAAAAACUCAACAAAGAGAUAAUACAACAGCUUACUUUUGGAGGUGAUCUUAUACGGUCUUUAUUAACAAACUAAUUAGCCACCUAAGCCUUUUUUUUUUCCUUUUGGGACUACACAUGACAAAAUGAGGAGUGAAUCAGUCGCUUAGUAUCUAAAAUUUUCGCUCCAUAAUUAGUUCAACCUGAUUUAAGACUAAAUUUUUACUAUAGGAAUGUUCGUGAUUCAGCAAUGAAACACCAUAUAAACUUAUUUUGGGAGAUUUGUCCUAGAAGAGAAAAAAUGAGCAACCAAUCAGAAAGUCGUACUUACAUAUCAAAAUCGAUACUGUCUACUUAAUUCACCAGGCACCAGCUAUGUAUAUUUCAUCCAUUUUCACAUAAUAGAAAGAACAAUAAUGCAUGGCAUUAUCCAUCAUAAAUUUCUCAUAUAACAUCAAGAUAUCAUGGUGUGGACCUCAAAUGACUCGUCAUGUCUACUGGCUACAUUUUAAACAUAUCUUAUGGCCAGAAUGUUCAUCUUAUCAACUUAACGAGUUUAUUCAUGGUACCAUACCAUUCAAUUAAAAAAGUUUCCACCUUUUACCUUUUAUUUAUAGAUGUCGAGGAAUAUAGCUGAUAACGCACUUUUGGCAGCAAUCUUCCUUCACCCAAUUAAAGAUUUUCGGAGCUUAAAGUUCAGCUCCUAAAGCUCUUCUCCAAGGCUCACCAACCAACAGAGAAAUUACUUUUAGCAAAGUUUUGAUGGCAUCUUGGCAAGAUUGGAAGAUUAUAUUGCGCUUCUAAGAUAAUGUUUAAAAAAGCUAUUUUAACGAGGGCAUUAUGGUCAAUUUGCCCCUGAUGAUAUUGACAUUAGGUCCCAUCAACAUCAGAAGGGAGCUCAUUGUAUUAUUGGAUAUAACAAGAGUGCUAGUGAAAUUAUGAAAACCCUCAAGGAAGGUUUUUGAAAUUAACCCUAAAAUACUCAUUCCACGCAAGGCGUGGCGUUCCCCUCCUAGUUCCUAUAAAUAGGGCUGCAACUCAAUGCACUUAUCACUCGAUAUCAAUAAUUUAGCACAUUAUUUACAUUUUGAGUGAGAUUGUGAUCAAAUGACAUCUUCAAAAAAUUUGCUCUUUCUUAUUGGUGUUCUUUUUGCACUUGUGCUCCUCAUUUCCUCUGAUGCAACAGCUGCAGGUGCCUAGUCCCUUUUUUUCUUUUCCUUUCUUCCUUUUUUUUUUUGGCUGCACCUAAAUACUUAAAUGAAUGGAGAUUUGGAGACUCAUUAUUGGGAUGUGAAUUUUUAUGGAAGGCUAUUUGUAUAUUAUCAAGCAAGUCAUAUUAAUGUGCUAAUAUCUUUUUCAUUGUUUAGCAAAAGUAAAUUUGGGUUGCUUCUAUCAAUGGUUAGUGGCACAUCUGAUUUUUCAUGCAUCCUUAUAGUAUUGCUGUAAGGAUACACGUUCCAUAGUGUCGCACCAAAGAUUAAACUAACGUCGAAAACCAAAUUAAAUGCUUCUAAUUAUAAUUUAAAGCAAAAUAAUUCCCCUUAUAAAUGGACGAAACUUCCUGCCAACAAAUCCAAAUUCAAGAAAAAAUUUUCUUAAGGGGAAACUCUGCCAAAAUUUUCUUAAAAUAAAUAAAAUAUUUAAUUAAAAAAAUGAAGCAAAAUAAUUCAUAUCCAAGUCGCACCAUCUUAUAUGCCUAGACUGUUUUGUUUAAUCCAUAGUAUUCUUUUCUUUGCAUAUAUCUUGCAAAUUUUCAGCCAAGCCGGUCACCUAACGUUCGCAGCUUAAGAUAAAGCUCCAAAUAUUUAUGUCUCCUUGUGUCUUGAAACAGAUCAGAAGAGCGUGAAAACCACUGGUGUCCACGAUGCCAGUUCAGGCGAGGUUCAUCAGGAUAGCAAAAGCGAAGAUCGUUGCAGACAUGGUUGCUGCCACUGGUACCAUGGACACUGCCAAAGAUGCUGUCGAACUGCCGAGGAGACCCCUGAAGUCACAUCUGGAGAUGAGGAUACCGUAACCGCAGAUCGUUGCAGACAUGGUUGCUGCCGCUGGUACCAUGGACAUUGCCAAAAAUGCUGUCCACCUGAAGAUCGUUGCAGACAUGGUUGCUGCCACUGGUACCAUGGACAUUGCCAAAGAUGCUGUCCACCUGCUGAGGAGACCCCUGAACAUCGUUGCAGACAUGGUUGCUGCCGCUGGUACCAUGGACAUUGCCAAAGAUGCUGUCCGCCUGCUGAGGAGACUUGCAGACAUGGUUGCUGCCACUGGUACCAUGGACAUUGCCAAAGAUGCUGUCGAACUGCUGAGCAGACCCCUGAAGCUACAUCCGGAGAUGAGGUCAAAAAUUAACGCUAAAUAAAUAAGGGCGUGACACAGGAUCCGUGACACCUAUAUUAUUACCUUAAUAUGUUAUGUUGUGUUUGCUUUUAAUGGUUGAUUUCCUAUAUGUGUAAAAGACUUGUGCGGCUUCUCUUUGAAUUGGUGUAGAAUCAACGGGGGAAGCAUGUAAUGAGUAUUCAGUUCGAGUGCUCUUCUUAUGUUGUUGUCAUGUUGAAUAAAUAAAUCUACUUGAUCAUCUACUACAAUUGAUGAUCUUCUUAUGUUUUUUUUUCACUUUAUCUUCCUUCAAGAUUUUUGGUGGAAAUGCUUCAUUUAUACGAAUUUUCCUAGUUAGUAAAUGCUUCUAUUACACUUGUACAAUACACAUUUAAAAGUAUAACACAACAAAAGCUUGUGUAGUUCAUAUAUUUAAAAAAUAUUCAUACUUUUCAACUAAACUAUAAAAAUAUGUAAUAAAUUCUUUAUACAUUAUACUUUACGAACUAUACUUUAAAUUUUAAAAAUAUUUAAUAGUAUCACUUAUCAAUAACUCCACAUGUUAAUUUGUCUUCCAAUUCAGUAAAUUAUAGUAGCUAAUUCUCAAAGCUAACCGACACCAAAAUUCCCUCACUUGUUCAGCUCCUAGUGGAUUUAUAUUAAUUACAUUGCAUUUAUUUCCUAAGCAUGAGUUUUGUAACCCCUCAUAUUAAAUCUCAAUGAUUGAUUUUAACGGUUACCCAGGCGUCUAGUAAUUGGUUUGCUAUUAAUUUGAACUAGACAUUUAUUAGGUCUAGUAGAAUUUAUUCCUUCUUAUCACUUAGUUCAUAAACCUUACGAAUCGUUAAAACCAGCUCUAACAUCAGCUAACAAGACUUCUACAAUUUCGGGUUUUGCUUAGAAAUCAGUCUGAUAGGUUAACUUGCUUCGUCCAACUUUAUGAGUUGCUUCUUUUUUCUUUUUUUUUCCAUAUUUGACAUUUCAUCUUACUUUAAUAUGGGGACCAAGUUAGUAUUGUUGACAUUUCAUAUCUAAGACUUCUUAAUUAAUUGAUUUGUUAUAAGAACUAUAACGUAUGCGUGUUUUGUAAGCUUUCAUGUUUUUUUAUUUUUUCAAUUCUUGUGGACCAGCAACGGAUAGUUUCUUCUAGUACCAAUCUUCCUUUGAAGUUCUUUAAUUUUUUUUUUGUGUCCAAAUGUAAAUUAAAAGAACCAACAACUUUGAACAAGUCUAUAUCUAGUAAAGAUAGAUAUAAAGAGGGAUACUAUAUCACUGCAACAAAAAAGGGAUUUGGCGAGGAGCAAAAGUCCACGCCAAAAUUUUUGACUUCGUCGCCAAUUAAUUUCAGCGAGAAAAAUGCUUCCUCGUCAAGUUUCUUGCUAGAUGCUCAUCGCUAAAAGUUAUUAGAGAGGAUGUUGUUGCUUUUCUCGCUAAUGAAACAGAUCAAUAGCAAGGAUUGACCUCCUCGCCAAUCUGAUUCAAAUACUAUGGCGAGAAAAGCUUUCCUCACCACUAAAGUUAAAAACUCCCCACAAAAACCAGUAGUUCCUAGCAAAUAGUCAAGGUGUUCUGCUAGGAAAAAUAGCGCAUCCUUACCAAUAGUAUAGAAUUAGCAAGGAUUCUUUUGACAAAUCUGCAAUGCCUCGUGUACCAGUAAAACAUUUUUGGCCAGGAAAGUUUCCUCUCUAAUAAGCAAUAAUUGAUUAUUGUCUAACUGUUUGGUGGGAAAAUGUUCCUCUCCAAUGCUGUUAUGAACAUUUCUUAAUCCCAUUUAGCAUGCUAAUCUUAAUUCUCUGAGCAAAUUACUGGGUGGUUUUAUUAGAAAAUUUAGCUGCAAAUAGCUUCAAUUUGGCUUCUCAUGUGUCUGUUGUACAUUUUCCAGGUUCUUAUAAGUAUCAAAUUGUUUGGCAAAAUUUUUUUUUAAUGAAUCAUGACCAACGUAGCUGCUCAUUAAAUUUAAACUCAUAAGCCCUAGUAUUUGAUAGCUUUUUGGAAUAUCACUUGGUGCCAACAACCCCCUUUUGCUACUUUGAUAAACAUUCAAUAGAAAACAUACAAAAGCUUUGGUUAGCUAAAAAUAAUUGUUAGCAAAGUAAUACAUCAACAUCCAGCUCUUUCAACAUCUUGAGCCAUACAAAUAGGAAGUGCUUGAAAUCAAUUGGCAAUCCAAAUUUUUUUUAGCUCAUUAACCAUCCAAGAAAUCGCAACUUCAAUAAGUCAUUACAAAAGAAGAUUUCAUCAAGAGAACACCACAAAAAGGAGAAGCAGAAAAAAAAUAUAAGAGAGAGAGAGAGAGAGUUAAACUAGUCAUAUGGACACAUAUUUGUCACCUCAGUAUUUCCAAUUCCUUAAUUCAGUCCAGUUAUCUUGGAACUCUAUCGGCAAUCCAUGGAACAUUUUUUGAAUGACAAUAUGCUGUUGCAACCUUCUGGUGAAGACUUCAAAGGUUCUAUGAUAGGUUGCAUUUUUGUCAUUAAUUCUAUGAUUAUUUUCCUCAUUUAUAUUACCAAAUAUUGUAUUAAUUGAUUGAUUCUACUUAUAUUUGGUAUUUUGUGUCAAUUGUAGGAAGGUGGAGCAAAAAAUAAUAAAAGAGGUGAUUUUUCAAGAGUUUUCCAUUUCAAGAUGGAGUUUACGUGGAGUAUUGGAUGAAAAUUAGGAAACUACCACUUUUUAUUAGAUGUCUUAUUAGGGAACAAUUAGCAAUAGUUGGAGAAGUUUCCUUUUGCAAUUAGAAUUCUAUUUUUAGUUGGCCAAUGGACUGCCGAAAUAAUGGACUUCAAUUAGGAAACAAAGAGAGAAAAAAGGCCGGAAUCCCGCGUGAUUACUACCUUGGAGGGAACAAGAAAAAGGAGACGUCCGCUGGUCUCUUCUUUAGUGAGUCUUUUGGAAAAAACCAAUGGUUAUCGAUGGUGUCCUGCGGAUCUCUCCUGAUGAUGUGUAGCUAAAUCUCCGUUUUCUAGUCGAAUGUCAAUUUGAGGACUCGAUUCCAAACAUAUUUGAUAAGAGAAUAUUUAAUGUACAUUUUGUACAAGUUUGGCAUGAACUUUUGAUGUGUUUUGAGAAGAUUAAAGCCAUAUUUGAACUCUUUUGGUGAUAAAUGCUUAAAUAUUAUGUAAGUGUUCAAAACUUGAUAAAUGAGUGGAUUAAUGCGUUAAUUUUGUGAAAUUGUGAAGGAUAUUGAUAUAUGAAAUUCAUGCACGAGAUGAAGGAAAUGUAAGGAUCGUCUAGAGGAUAAAGUACAAAAGAAACUAGGAGCAAAAAUGAAGAAAAAGGAAAGAAGUGAAAAACUGGAAAUUGAUCAGCACAGAUUUGAGCUCGGAUCCGUGUGAACAAAGGGCGAUCCGAGCCCUCGUCUGCACUUCUGGAGCAGUGCAUCCGAGGCCAGACAAUCUGAGCUCGGAUUAUUAAGAGAAAGACCUCGGAUCAGCCUUGAUCCGAGCUCAGAUCGUAGUGCACACCUCGGAUCCAGGUCUCGGAUCUGCCUCUCUUCUGCAAGUGGCACGGCCGUUUUUUCUCAUUUUCACACAACUUUCCAGCUAUCUUGGGUGAGAGAAUUCGAUGGCACAUGCUUCUGCAACAAAAGGGAAGACAAAAUGAGUUAUUGAUAAGUCAAAACAACAUUUCUUUUGACUUUCUUUACAAAAUCUGAGUUGUUGGAAUCAUGAAGGAGAAGAAAGUGCCUUUCUACCACCUUUUAUGCAGAGAACUAAGGAGAAGUCAGGCAUCACCAUAUGGAGGAGUUUUUCAUCUUGUAACAUUUUUCUCUCUAGCUAGAAGUUCUAAAAACAAGCACUUGGAGAUUUCACUUGUAAUCAUCUUGUACAAGACAUAGCAAAAAUUUGAGGGUUUCACCAUUAAUUGGCUAAGCUUUUCUUUAUCUUUCUUGUACUUGUACUUUAUGAUGUUUUGCAUUAAUAAACUUGUGAGUUUGAUUGUUAUAUUAUUCAUGAGUAGCUAAAUUUCUUUAUCUAGAGAGUAGAUAAAUGAUAUGAAUUGAAUGUGAUUUACACUUGUUAUAUCUUGUAUUAACUUGUCUAUUUGUGCAGUUGUAAUUACUUGUUGUUGUUUGAUCACCAAUAGCAUGUUUAUAGUUGUUAUUAGUCAAUAAGAAUUGGUAGUAACAAUAGAAAAAAUAUGAGUAGAGCUUGAGUUGUAUGUUCAUGAAAAUAGAUGUACACUUAAGUGGAUUAGCUAGCAUUUCAUGAAGGAAAACAGAGUAGAACUGGUAGUUCACCAUGAAAAUAGGGAAAACUGGAUUACUCUAGGCCAUUUUAUCAUGAGAAUGAGAUUUGGCAAUAUUGAAAAUGAAUCCCUGGUUAAACAACAAUAAUAACAAGAGGUAAAUCUAUUCAUUUGUGUUGUUUAUACCAUAAGUGGAAUCUACAUCCCUAGAUUUAUUCUUGAGUGAAAUUUAUCCAUUUGCAUUUAGCAUUUGUUAAACUAGAUUUAUAGACAACAACAUUAUAAUUUCUCUGCUCAAAUUCAUUUAUAAGUCUAAAUAAUAGAGAAAAUAAGGGCCUAGUACUUAUUUAAAUUGCUCCUCGUGGGAUCGACUUGAUACAUACCUUACAUUACGAUUUCGACCUGUAUAGUUGCAGUCAACGGGUAUAAAAUCGAAUUCAAACUUGCAUUGAUAUAAAAAUCCCGUCACAUAUGUGAGAUCGAAUUAUUUUACUUAUUUCUUUUAUUCAUUGGUAUUUGUACAUUUUCUGAUUUAACUUCAUAUACUUGUUAUGUUAUUUGAAUGUCAAGGGCUCGAUAUUCGAAUUAACCUAAUAAUCUACUGUUAGAUUAAUUGAUUGAAUCCCUAAUUGUUCAAUUGAUUAAUACCAGUGGCAACUAGCGUGAUUAGUUUCAUGUUAAGGAAACAUAUGAUCUAACUUAAACGAACCCUCGUAGCGUGUUUGUUAAUUAAGGUUGGCUUUUCUAAUUCUUAUUGCAAUUGAGAAAUUAAAUCCUAUAGUCGUACCUAGGGUUAUUUCUUGGUUAGAAAAAUAGUUAAUGGUCGUACCUUAACUAUCGAAAAAGUAAGAAAAGAUUGGUUGUUUAUCGCGUGUAUAACAACUAUAACCAAUCUAUUAAUUAGUAAUUGAAUUAUCUUUGCAUCGAUGAUCAGUUGAAAGGACCAUGUCUGAAAAGUUGCACCUUUGGCUAGAGUUGUAUUGGUUAUUGAUUAAUUCCUGUUUAUUUCUAUUAGUUGUUUCAUUAGUUGAUUAAUUAGUUAUUUUAUAUUUUUCAAAAACCCCCCAUACUUCGGACUCUGGAAGAAAUGAAUUAUCCCCAAUCCCUGUAGAUUCGACCCUGCUCACCGCUAUAUACAAAUUUGUAUUUUUCUUGAGUAGGUAAUUAUUAUUGCACAUGUUCAACACCUGUCAUUCUAUAACUGUAUACAGAGUCAUCUUUUUCAAAGAUUUCCCAUGCUGCAAAAUGUACUCUACGAGCUUUAUUUCACCCUGUUCCUGAAGAGUUUGCUUGAUCCGAUAUACCCGAAUGGGAUGGUUAUUUCUUUCACAAAUAAUUAUGAAUUUGUAGACAGGGCAAGUAGGGUCGUAUCCACAGGGACUGGGUAUAUUUGUUUCUUAAGAAAUCCAAAAUAACAUAGGGGGGUGAUUUUGUAGGAACGACGACAAUAAAAUAAAUUCAAUUAAGAAAAUAAAAAUAAAUAACUAAUUAGAGAUUAAACAACAAUUCACUGAACUUAGAGUAAUAAUAAUUAAAGGCCUAAAUCAAUUAAAACAAGGAAGCAUGAAAAUAGAUGUACACUUAAGUGGAUUAGCUAGCAUUUCAUGAAGGAAAACAGAGUAGAACUAGUAGUUCACCAUGAAAAUAGGGAAAACUGGAUUACUCUAGGUCAUUUUAUCAUGAGAAUGAGAUUUGGCAAUAUUGAAAAUGAAUCCCUGGUUAAACAACAAUAAUAACAAGAGGUAAAUCUAUUCAUUUGUGUUGUUUAUACCAUAAGUGGAAUCUACAUCCCUAGAUUUAUUCUUGAGUGAAAUUUAUCCAUUUGCAUUUAGCAUUUGUUAAACUAGAUUUAUAGACAACAACAUUAUAAUUUCUCUGCUCAAAUUCAUUUAUAAGUCUAAAUAAUAGAGAAAAUAAGGGCCUAGUACUUGUUUAAAUUGCUCCUCGUGGGAUCGACUCGAUACAUACCAUACAUUACGAUUUCGACCUGUAUAGUUGCAGUCAACGGGUAUAAAAUCGGAUUCAAACUUGCAUUGAUAUAAAAAUCCCUUCAAGUUUUUGGCGUCGUUGCCAGAGAGUGGCAAUAUUAGGGUCUAAUCAUCUCUAUUAAUUUAGAUAUUUCUAUUGUUUUUAAGUUGUUUAUAGUUGAUUUUGCAUUAAUUUAGUUUUUGACAAUUAAAGCUGCAUAAUUUCUCUUAUUUCUAUUUGUAGUAAAUGCAUCGAACAUAUCGAGAAGUUACACCUUUCGAUCCAAAAAUUGAGAGGACACUUUGUAGACAAAGGAGCGAUAUACCGCAUCAAGAGGAACAAGAGAUUUGACAGCCGAUAGAGGAAAUUUUGAAAGAGCUACCGUUUGAGGAAGAAAUGGCGGAAAACAAACCAAAUAGGCGAGUUUUACGAGAUUUUGCUUUACCGGGGACACAAAGAUCUCAAACUAGCAUUGCAAAACCAACGGUAAAUGCUAAUAAUUUUGAGAUUAAACCAUCACUGAUUCAAAUGGUUCAACAAUCUCAAUAUGGGGGUAAUGCAACCGAAGAUCCAAAUUCUCACUUGUUAACAUUUCUUGAAAUCUGUGAUACAAUUAAGUUUAAUGGUAUUAGUGAUGAUGCAAUUAAACUUCGAUUGUUUUCAUUUUCGCUAAGGGACAAGGCCAAGGUUUGGUUAUAAUCUCAUCCUUCAAAUACUUUUACUACUUGGGCUGAAUUAGCUAAGGCUUUUCUUAAUAAAUUCUUUCCACCUGGAAAAACUGCUAAACUUAGAAUGGAUAUAACUAGUUUCUCUCAACAGAAAGGAGAGACAUUGUAUGAAGGUUGGGAGCGCUAUCAGGAAUUACAACGAAGAUGUCCUCAUCAUGGUUUACCAGAUUGGCUUAUAGUGCAAACAUUUUGCAAUGGUCUCACUUAUCCAACAAAGACGCAUGUAGAUGCAGCAGCGGGAGAAGCAUUGAUGGAAAAAUCAGCCAAGGAAGCUCAACAAUUGAUUGAAGAAAUGGCCGCUAAUAACUACCAAUGGGCCAACGAACGAGGUAAUACAAGGAGAACCGUAGGUAUGCUUGAAGUAGAUACCUUAAAUAUGUUAAGUGCAAAGAUGGAUAAUGUGGUUAAGAUACUUAAUAGGCAUGUUGGUUCUAGCUCUAAUCAAGGAGUAGUUGUUACAUGUUCUACUACUUGCAGCGGAGAUCAUGAUGAUUCUAUGUGUUCUAGCAGCGAACAAGUUCAAUAUCUCAACAAUUACAACCGUCCACCCCAAAAUAAUCUAUACUCCAAUACCUACAAUCCAGGAUGACUUAAUCAUCCGAAUUUUGGAUGGAAGGAUCAAGGGAACCAACAAAAACCAGUUAAUCCACUGGAUUUUCAACCGAAGCAACCACUUCCAGAGUCCAAACCAGCUUGGGAAUUGACAAUUAAGAAGCUGGCAAAUGUAUCAAAUGAUAAAAUUGAAAAGUUAGCUAGUGUCACUACUCAACGAUUUGAAAGAAUUGAGGGAAUGAUGGACCAACUCACCAAUAUGUAUAGGAAUGUUGAGAUCCAAUUAGGGCAAAUAGCAAAUGCAGUUAACAAUCGCAACCAAGGGGAUUUACCUAGCAAGACUGAGGUGAACCCAAGGGAGCAUGUGAAGGCCAUAACCUCCGUAGUGGUAAGGAAGUAGGUGAGCCACCUGUAGUUGAAAGUGAGAGAAAAUAUGAAAGAAGAGAAAACAAGCAGUUGAGUGAGUUAGGAGAUGAUAACAAAACAAUUGAUGGGAAAGAAAAUGUGGAAGAGUGUGAGCCACAAAUUGAAGAGGCAACACUAAUUCCUCUACCGGUGCCAUUUCCUCAAAGAUUGAAACCUUCAAGAAAUGACAAAGAAUUUGAGAAGUUUGUUAACAUUUUCAAACAAUUACAUAUUAACAUUCCUUUUGUUGAUGUUAUUUUACAGAUUCCUUCAUAUGCAAAGUUUCUCAAAGAAAUAAUGACUAAGAAAAGGAGGUUAGUAGAUAGUGAAACAAUUUCAUUAACGGAAGAAUGUAGUGCCAUCAUACAAAAUAAAUUGCCACCAAAGUUGAAAGAUCCGGGGAGUUUCACAGUUCCUUGCACUAUCGAUAAUGUAGAAUUUUCUAAAGCACUACGUGACCUUGGUGUGAGUGUUUCAUUGAUCCCUUUAACUGUGACUAGGCAAUUGGGGUUGAAAGAGUUAAAACGUACUAACAUUUCCUUGCAAUUGGCUGACAAGUCUAUUAGACAUCCAAUGGGCAUUUUGGAGAAUAUGCUUAUUAAAGUGCAGAAAUUCAUUAUUCCUGUUGAUUUUAUUGUUUUAGAUAUGGAGGAAGAUGUCAAUGUACCUAUUAUACUUGGUAGACCAUUUCUGGCCACUGCAGAUACAAUAAUAGAUGUUAAAUGUGGUAAAUUUAAGUUCCAAAUUGGUGAAGAGGAAGUGGAGUUUGAUUUGAGUAAAGUGGAGAAGUAUCCCUCUUUUACUGACCAUAUUUAUUCUAUUGACAUAUGUGAUGAAUUAGCGUUAGAGAUAAGUCAAGUUAAUCUUGAUAAUGAUUCUCUUGAACUUUGUCUUAAUGAUGUAGGCUUACAAGAGGAACAAGUUGAAGAAAUGACUGAAUUUUUGCAGGUACAAAUUCCUUACAAAAGGAGAAAUGCGUAUGAGGAGUUAGGGCUGAGCAAAGGGCUACCUCCACCAUCGUGUGAGCAAGCUUCACGGCUUGAGCUUAAGCCACUCUCUAAACACUUCAAAUAUGCAUUUCUUGGAGAAAAUGAGACAUUGCCGGUGAUUGUCAAUACUGCACUAGAUGAGGAACAACUAGGAAAGCUUUUACGUGUUUUGAGGAAACAUUUAAAAGCUAUAGGAUGGACAACUUUUGAUAUCAAAGGAAUUAGUCCAACUAUUUGUAUACACAGGAUUUUGUUAGAAGAAAAUUCUAAGCCGGUGGUUGAAAUUCAAAGAAGGUUAAAUUCAAACAUGAAAGAAGUGAUAAGAGUACAAAUCCUUAAAUGGCUAGAUGCAGGUAUAAUUUUUCCAAUCUCUGAUAGUGUUUGAAUUUCUCCUAUUUAUGUAGUGCCAAAGAAAGGGGGGAUAAACAUAGUACGUGGUAAAAAUAAUGAAAUGAUUUCCUCUAGAGUUGUGGUUGGGUGACGAGUCUGUACUGAUUAUAGAAAACUGAAUGCAGCUACUAGAAAGGAUCAUUUCCCUCUUCCUUUUCUUGAUCAAAUGGUAGAAAGAUUGGCUGGAUAUGAAUUUUAUUGUUUCUUGGAUGGUUUUUCAGGAUACAAUCAAAUAGUCAUUGUACUGAAAGAUCAAGAUAAAACCACAUUCACUUGUCCUUACGGCACUUUUGCAUUUCGAAAAAUGCCUUUUUGAUUGUAUAAUGCACCGGCCACUUUCCAACAUUGCAUGAUGGCAAUUUUCUCUGAUUUUAAUGAGAAAAUCAUGGAAAUCUUCAUGGAUGAUUUUUCUGUAUUUGGAUCUACUUAUGAUCAUUGCCUUAACAAUUUAGAUCUAAUUUUGCAGAGAUAUGAAGAAACAAACCUUGUACUCAAUUGAAAAAAAUGUCACUUCAUGGUUUGUGAGGGUAUUGUUCUAGGGCACAAAAUUUCUUCACAAGGUAUUGAGAUAGAUCAAACCAAGAUAGAGGUUAUUGAGAGAAUGCCUCCACCUACCAAUGUGAAAGGCAUUCAAAACUUUCUUGGACACAUGGAAUUUUAUCGGCAGUUUAUUAAGGAUUUCUCCAAGAUUGCUAAACCUUUAUGUGAAUUACUUGCAAAAAAUAUUACUUUUCACUUUAAUGAUGAGUGUUUAUUUGCUUUUAAUAGGUUGAAAAAGGAACUUGUCUCCACAUCCAUAAUAGCAUCACCACCAGAUUGGAGCUUGCCAUUCGAAUUGAUGUGCGAUGCGAGUGAUUUUGCAGUUGGAGCUGUUCUUGGGUAAAAACAUGAUAAGCGACUUUAUGUCAUUUAUUAUGCAAGUAAAAUGCUAAAUGAAACCCAAGUCAACUAUGCAACAACAGAGAAGGAGUUGCUAGUAGUGAUAUUUGCAUUGGAUAAGUUUAGAUCGUAUUUAGUAGGAUCUAAAGUCAUCAUUUAUACCGACCAUGCAGCACUCAAGUAUCUCUUAAAUAAGAAAGAUGCAAAACCUGGACUAAUUCGAUGGAUUUUAUUAUUGCAGAAAUUUGAUUUGGAGAUCAAAGAUAAAAAAGGAUCCGAGAACUUAGUCGCUGAUCAUCUUUCUAGACUGAAAAACAUGCUUCAAGAAGACCAUUCAUCCAUUAAAGAAGAAUUUUCAGAUGAGUUUUUAAUGGCAAUUUAAAAGUCACCAUGGUAUGCUAAUUUAGUUAAUUUUGUAGUUAGUGGAGUGAUAUCAAGUGAUUUGAAUUCCCACCAAAGGAAAAAAUUCUUAAAUGAUGCUAAACAUUAUUUUUGGGAGGAACCAUUCUUUUAUAAACAUUGUGCAGAUGGAAUAAUUAGAAGAUGUGUUCCGGAAGAAGAGGUACACAGUAUUUUAAUACAUUGUCAUACCCUUGAAACGGGAGGUCAUUUUAGUACAACUAAAACCGUAGCAAAGGUAUGACAAUUUGAAUUUUACUGGCCUACUAUAUACCGAGAUGCUAGAAAUUGGGUUAAAAGUUGUAAUUAAUGCCAAAGAACUGGUAACAUCUCUAGAAAGGAUGAAAUGUCUCUAACUAAAUAUUUGGAAGUUGAACUAUUUGAUGUUUGGGGUAUUGAUUUUAUGGAACCAUUUCCUAGUUCUUUUAAUAAUAACUACAUCUUAGUAGCAGUGGAUUAUGUUUCUAAAUGGGUAGAGGCAAUUGUUUUCACCUACUAAUGACUCUAAGGUUGUACUCCGGUUUCUUAAAAAGAAUAUUAUUUGCAGAUUUGGUAUCCAAAAGACCAUAGUUAGUGAUGAAGAAAAAUAUUUUUGUAAUAAACACCUUCACUCAUUGUUUAAAUAUGGCUGCAGGUACAAGACAUCACUUCUGUACCAUCCUCAAGCCAACGGACAAGCGAAACUAGCUAAUAGAGAGAUAAAACUCAUUUUGGAGAAAACUGUAAUUGAAUCACGCAAAGAUUGGGCUACAAAGCUAGAUGAUGCACUAUGGACUUACCGACCGGCAUUUAAGACACCUUUAAGGAUGUCGCCGUAUCGUUUAGUCUAUGAAAAAACUUGUCACUUACCUGUAGAGAUUGAACAUAAAGCUUAUUGGGCUAUUAAAGCAAUUAACGUGAACUUUAAUCUUUCAGGUGGAAGGAGGCUACUUGAGUUAAGUGAAUUGGAGGAACACCGAUUACAUGCGUAUGAAAAUGCCAAAAUUUAUAAAGAGAAGAUCAAAUAUUGGCAUGAUAAAUAUAUUCUUCCUAAGCAUUUUGAAGAAGGGCAAAAGGUGUUAUUGUUUAACUUAAGACUUAAAUUGUUCCCUGGAAAGCUUAAGUCUCGAUGGUCCGGACCAUUUGAAAUAGCUCACACAUUUCCUUAUGGAGCGGUGGAAAUAAAAGGAGAAAAUGGUGCCCCAUUCAAAGUGAAUGAUCAAAGAUUGAAGCUCUAUUUGGCCGGAGAAAGGGUUCCUAAAGGAGUAAUUUACUCCUUAGGAAACACAAUGGAGAGUUAAGAAAACUGUAGGAGAGUCGAGUUUAACGAUUUUAAAUAAAGCGCUUGUUGGGAGGCAACCCAAUAAUAAUAUUGUAGUUGUGUGUUUUUAUGUGUUUCUUAAAUUUUGGUGUUAUUUGAUUGACUAAUUAUAUGUAUUUCACUUGUUGUAGGGGGUGCCGGCAUUUCAACUUCCAUAGGUGCACUUGAAGAACAAUAGUUAAAAGGGAAGUUUUCUUACCAAAUUCUGUUUUAAGUGUUUAAAAUUCCCUUUCAUGUAUAAUAUGUUGCAUUUCCAUUGUAUUCAAGUAAGUUUUAGUGAUAACAUGUUUAUACAUGUUCAUUGAUUCAUUUGAUGUGUAUCUCAUACCUAAGGGAGCCCUCUUAGUGUAAAAGUGCCAAAAUGAUCAAAGAAACUCACCCCUCGAUUUGCAAUGUAUAUGUGUUUGAUGUAUUUUGAGAGGUUGGAUAUUGUGUUUAUGGUAUAUUACACUUGCGUGAAAGGGUAGAAUUGAUAGAAAUUUCGUCCAAGGUGUAAUUUGGAAAUUGCCGAAAAAGGAGGAAAAAGUUUGAAAAAUUGCAAUUUCUGAAAUUGUUGCAGAAAAAGCCAGAUCCGAGCUCGAAUCCGUUAAAGAUUCAAAGACGAAAUUGGAGAUCCAACCUCGGAUCCGAAGUUGUUCACUAUGAUCCGAGGGCUCAUCUGUGUUUCUGGAAGGCCGGAUCCGAGCCUAUAGGAUCCGAGCCUUGGUAUACACGAUCCGACCUCGGAUUGUGUAUUCUUGAAAAAUUCAGCAUAGGGGAUCCGAACUAGGAUCCAACAAAAUCUAGUAGGAUCCGAGGGCUCGACUGAACUUCUGAAGUAGCGGAUCCGAGCCCUAUCGGAUCCGAGGGAUGCCAGAACCGAUCCGACCUCGGAUCUGUGCGCGAUAAAAACAAAUCCGAGGCUUCGGUUCUGCAUUUGUCCAAUUCUCCUUUUCCUAUUUCACCGAAAACCCUAGCCCUUUUUCACCAAUCUUCCAUUUCAUCCAAUAAUUAUUCAAUCUUUCACCACAAAAACAUCUCCCAACCUCUUGUGAUCAUAAACCCUCAACAAAUUCAUUUUAAAAACAUCAAUUUGGGGGGUUUUGAUCUUCAAAACGGGAAUUCAGGCCGCACUGAAAUCUCGCAAUUUGUGGUCGAAUUUGGGCUUGUUUCUUCAUCACUUUGCAUCAUUAUCAUCCUCCACCAUCAAUCUACACAUUUGAGGUAACAAUUUGCAAUUUUCUUUGAGAUUUUAUAAUUCCCAAUUUUACAUUUUUCUAGUUUUGGACAUAUUUUGGUAAUUGCUCAUAAGUUGAAAUUUUUUGAUACAAUUGUGCUACAUUGUGCUUAAAUAGAUUGUCACAACUAUUUUCAUGCUUAGUUUUGAGAGAAUUGUGAAUUUGGUAUUAUUUUGUAGAUUUUUCUUCUAAAAUUUUAGGUUAAUGCACAUGAACUCUUUAAUGAAUGAAAUUACUCCUCUAUGUGAACUACUUGCAUGCUUAAAAUUGAGAAAAUUGUUAUUAUAGUGAUAUUUUUGUAUAUUUUUCUCAAUUUUUAAGUUUAAGCAUGUUAAAUCUUUUGCUUGAAUAUUCCUUGUUCUUAGAGAUAAUUGGCAUUCAUUAAGAAGAAUUGGAGCUCAUUAGUUGGUACUUUGGUGAUAAUGUGUAUAGCCAAUUGGUGUGUAAUUGUUGGAUAAAAUCAUGAGAUAAUUGGCCCGUACAUUCUUGAAGUAAUGAAAUUGAUCUUUUAAGAGUCCUUUUUACUUUGAGAUUAUAUUCUAUUGAAAUAUGCAUCAAUUCUUAAGAGAUUGGACUUUUUAAUGAGAUUCUAAUUAAAAUAUGCUGUUCAAUUGUUGAAAGUGGAAUAUUCAAACAAUGUGUUGAGAUUGUAGAUUGAAAUUGAUAUCAUGCAUGUGCAAUGAGCUUGUGAAUUGGUUAAAUACGAUAUGGCCGUGAAUUUGUUGAUUGUUGGCAGGGAGUUUUUUCCUUUUAUUAGGGGAAACUCUGCCGAAAUUUUCCCAAAUCAUUUUUAAACAUUGUUGGUCGUGUAUUUUCAAGGGAUUUAGAAUUCUUCUAAUGUGUGUUUGAUCUUGUUUUUGAUAUAGGUACCAUGACUCGCACAAGACGAUCUCGUGUUCGCACUCCUUCACCUUCUUCAAGUGAAGAGCAUACUCCUUCAAUGCCUAAGGAGUCACCAGGGGAAGAAUCUCCUUCACCACAGUCGCCGCCACGCUUACGGCGUAAGAGAGCAUCUACGAGCCAUGAGAAGCUAGCUCUAGAUUAUGACACCACUCGUUUUAGACAAAGAGAUCAUAAUUGAAAAACACUUGGCCCCGGAGAUGGAUGACCACUCACUACAAGAAAAUUGUUCAUCAGUGACAACACAAAGUCAUCACAGAACAUACAAAUAUCGUCACAAAUACCUUUUAUUGACGACUUUUCGAUCGUCACAAAGUCGUCACUAAAUCCCCGUCGGUAAAAGUAAACAGUGACGACAUUUUAGGUAGAGCAUUUUUGACAAAAGAUCAAUUCGUCAAUAAAACACUUCCAGAUUGUCGUCACUAAUGACAACUAUUUAGUGACAACUAUUUGGUCGUCACUAAAUAGUUGUCAUUAGUGACGACAAUCUGGAAGUGUUUUAUUGACGAAUUGACCUUUUGUCAAAAAUGCUCUACUUAAAGUCGUCACUAAAAAGCACCGAAAGCCAUUGUAUAUAACUAUUUUACUGACAACAAUUGUCGUCACAAAUGUAACUUAGAUUUAGUGACAGUCUCUGUUGUGACAAGGAGUUUUUAUUUUCUAUUUUGUGACAACUUUUUUUUGUCAUUAGAUAAUUUCAUAAUAGCUUAAUAGUCAUAAUUUGGCCUGUAAUCAUUGCUAAAUCAUUGAUUUUGAACAAACCAUACAAAUAAACAUAAACGAUUGAUAACCAAAAGUAUUUGCAUUAGAUUACAUGGUAAUAAUAUAGCAUUCUCAAAUGCCAAAUUCAAGUGUACAUUGCCCAACUAAUGCCUACAAAAAUAACAUUUGUCCAAAAUAUCACUUGUACAUAAGGUACAUUUACAAAAGCAAUCACAGUUUAAGAAAUUGAAGAACAUCUAAAUGAACCACUCCAUGAGCAAAAGGCAAUUUUGUCUUCAACAUUCUUCAACCAUAACCAUAGAUAUCUUCCAAAAGCUAGUAUGAAUAGCAUUUAUCUGUCAUAAAAGAGUAAAAGAAGUAGGUAAGGGGAGGAGUACAAUAAUAAAGAACAAGUAAUGAGACUUAGAUUAUUAAGACAAAAAUUACAAUUCAUUAAGAAUCUCAUAUAAUUUGGGCCCACAUAUUACAACACCAGCAAGAAGUUAGAAAUCACAGUCCAAUCUAUACAAAUACAACACUGCAUAAGCUCAACUAAAGAGCUCUCUAAAACAGUUUUUUUUUAAUUUUCUUUCUUCUUCUUUAAAUAGCUCAACUUAUUGAACAAUUAAAUUGGACUCCCACAGUAAUUAUUGUUUAAUGUUUAUGCUUUUGGUUGUUUAUAUAUUAAAACUAGGUGAUUGCUUCCCACGCAAGGCAUGGGAACUUUAGACCUGUUAGUAAGGUUGUAUUUGUUAUUGUAAUAUUUUUAAUAUUUUAGAUGAUGAAAAGAGUGAUGUGAUGUGUAUCGUGAACUUGGGCUAGGAGUGAAAAGGAGUAUUAGUCAAAAAUAUAUUAGUUCCAAGAGUAGUCAUGUACUAAUACAAAGGAUACAGCCAAUGCAGUAAUGAUGAUUCACAAGAAAAAGGAAAGCAUGAUAUUUACAUAUACAACAGUAAUUUAGUAUAGAUGAUUCAAAAGAAAGAGGCUCCUUUGACGUUCAAAUACAUUCCAUUAUCAUGUAACAACAACUCAGAUGACAAUGAAAUAAAUUCACAAGUACCAAUCACUUGGUCAUUACUGCAGUAACAGUUAAUGGAAGUAGCAAGAUAUUGCUACAACUUGGUCACAUGCAAAUUUUUUUUUUGUUCUGGGUUCACAAGGAAUGAAUUCAUAAAUUAUGAAGCAGCAAAAUAAAUUCACAAGUACCAAUCACUUGGUCAUUACCACAGCAACAGUUUCAAUACCAACAGUUUCAACUUUCUUGAGACAAUCAAGUUGCAUCUUAAGUUUGCAAAAUAUCAAGUUUUACAUGUCCAUUAAAAAUUUUAAAAAGUACCUUUGCUUUCAUCACCACCUUUCCGGCUUAGGAUACCUCCUUGAACACCACCCCCAUAAAGCCACUGCUUCAUCUGGUUUUACACUCUUGUUGGGUUCCUUUCCAUCAAAGUAGUCCUUGAGAAGUUAUUGGACUUUUGGGAUCCUGGUAGCCCCACUAACAGGAACAAUUUCAUGCAUCUGGUGGUUCUCCAAACCAGCAUCCCCCAUAGCCUUCUUGACAAGUCCCAUGUUUUUGCUAAAGAGGUCAUUGUUCAACUCGUCAAAUCAAGCAUGAGUCUUAACUUGCUGCUGGCUGCUUAAAGCUCUUUUGGCACGGUCAGCUUCCCUCAGUUUUCCAAGUGGUCUGUUGUGGUUGCUGAUGUUCUUUCCAUGUUUCUUGUUAAUCAACUUGAUGAAAUAUUCUAUAAUCCUUUGAUGAAAGCCUUUGCCUACAAUAAAACAGAGCAAUUAGAACCAUAUGAAAGCUUUUUAUAAGAAAUGUAACUAAUAAAACUUAUACAAGAAAUUGGUUGCUUUAAUUAGUGUAGUUAGAUAAACUUUUUUAAUUCGUAGUUAGACAGGCAACUGCUGCUGCUCUGGGUUCAUUGAUAGUCCUAGCAACAUUCAGCCCAGCAAUAAUACCUGCAUUCUUUGUUGCCUGCCUCUGGGCAUCACUGAAGUAAAAUAUGAUUCAACGAGUAACUCUAGAAAUUGAACUAUACCGGGAACAGUUACCACAGCAUCCUUAAUUUUCUUUGCAAGGAAAGCUUCAGCUGCUUCUUUCAUCUUAGUUAAAACCAUUACACUAAUUUCCUCAAGACUGAAGACUUUAACCUUACUAUCCUUAAUUUUCACCUAGAUAUAAGGUUUUCCAUCCUUGUUCACAAUCUUACAAGGAACGAGCUUCAUAUCCCUCUAAACUUCAUUAGUCUCAAUCCUGUUAUAUAACAGUUAAGACUUCAGUGAGCAUAUGUAUACACACCAAAAUGUUCCAGCAAAAAUGAUAAAUACACGAGUGUGCCUUACUUUCAUCCAAUAAAUCUCUUGACAUCAAAGAUAGUUCUUUCAACAUUAACAUCGAAUCAGUCUUUCGCUACCAGCAAAUGCAAUCCAUGAUGGCUUAAUACGAUUCCUUGGUCAUUUGCUGUGAUUUCAACAUGACCAUUUUUGUAAAUAUGAGCACAUGAAUAGGUAGUUCCAAGAUCUAUUCCAAUGACUAUUCCCAAUUUUGCAGCUUAUUCUUUGGUGAUGGAAAUUGUAGAUAGACAGCCUUUUGCACCGAAAAAUAUUAUUGGAAAAAGUAAAACUCUUAUGUAUAGUUUUUGAGAGAAAAAAACUAAAACACUGCAGGAUGAAGCAAUUCCACACUCAUGAUGAAAUCCACAAUUACUCGAGCAACCGUGGGAUUGAAGAGUUCGAAGAGCUUGCUCAAACAUUGUGGUGACCAUCCCAAGAACAAGUGGAAAAAAUAAGAACUCAUUUAAUUUCAAGAAAAUGAAAUGAACAUCAAGUAUCAAACUAACAAACAGUGCAGGAACAGAAGAAGGAUAUGAACUGCGAAGAACAAUCUGAUAGAUAGCCUAGUGGUUAAUGGUUUUUUUUCCCAUCUCCCUUUUUUCUUCCUUCCCAAUCCUUCCUUGCUAAAAAAUGGCUUUGAAAGUAUCAAAUAGUACCUAUCAAAUUAGCGAACUGAGUUAGUUUAAAGAAGAUCCUAUAAUAGUUAUUCUAAAAAUCUUUAGUCACUUGCUACGUGAGGAGGGCGUGGCAGAUAAUAACUCUUUGUUUUUUGGCUCAUUUCGAAUUGAUAUACUUUUUGGCUUAAUUGGAGAGAACUAAUUUGAAUCAUUUCCAACCAGUUUACAGAUAAAAAAAAUUUCAUUUAUGAAAAUGAAAUAGAAAAAAUAAUAGCACAAAAACAAUGAAAAUAGACAUCAAUGGCUAGUAAAAAAAAGGUGUUCUUUUAUCAUUGAAAAUUAGGCCAAUGCUGAUCAAUGAGCUAUAGUUGUUUGACUAUCAACAGACAUAAUAUCAAGAAAUUACGAGAGCUUUUUUUGCUGUAACAUCAACAGGCAUAAUAUCAGAUGUGUAAUCUUGUUUUACCAGAGUUUCUGCCUAUACAGUGAUAAUCUAGCACAUUAACAGGCAAAAACAAUAAUCAGGCAGACAGUCACUGAAUCGAAUAAUCAGGUAGCUUAUUUUCAUUGAGCACCACCUUGCCAUCAGAUGAUUUUCAUGAAUCACUUAUCAGCAUCUUUGACUACAAGAAUUAGUACCUUUUAAUAGAUCAGCAGAAAGCCGCAAGAUUUUUCCAAACUUUAUCAACCACGCUGCAUAUCACAUGAUAUUAUUCCCAUUCAAUUGUUGAUGGAGGCUUGGAAGUAAUAUCUUGAACAACUCGAUUUACACCACAUACACUAUUGCAUAUCUUUCUUGCAACAACAUCAAGGAAAUUGUGUUCAAAAUUGUACCAGUCAGCAGUCAUCCCAUCUUGAUUUGUGACAGCUCUCAAUGCAACAACAUGAGAAUGUGUUCUUUGAUCACCUUGAACUCCAACAGACCUUAUGGGCAAGAAAACAGCAAAAGCUUGCUAUAUUUUAAAAAAAACAACCAAACCAAAUCAAACCAACCUUUACUAAUGAUUCUAAGAAAAACCCACUUCAAUUUUGCCAAGAAACAAAUUGCAAAACAAAUGAUACAGGAAAAGAAACAUCCAACUUCAUAAAACUAAACAAAAAAGCCAUAGAAAACAACAGAAAACGUAAAUGGAGUUUGAAAGUGAUAUUCUUAGAGGGGUUCAAAUGCAACUAAAUAGGGACUUAACUGAAUGAAUUAUGGAUGUUUUAGGGUCGAAUUAAGUUCAGGAACUCUGGGGCUAAAUUACAAAAAAGAAAAUGGAAUGACCGGAAUUGCAAAUUUAAGCAAACGAUCGUCUUCCCCAAGCAGAUUAGGCAUCAAUCUUCUAUUUAGACCUUCACUCGGGCAUUUUAACAAACAGUACAUGGGCAUAGAAGGAUCCAGCAAUUUUUGCUCAAUUGGGACUGUAAUUAGCCCCCCAAAAUUUGUCAAAACACAAGAGAUUUCAGUCCAAACAACAUACAAUAGCAUACAAUCUAAAAUCGUUAGCAAUCAACAUGAAGUUGGCACUGAACAAACGCACGGCAAACAUGCUUUGAGACUUUUCAAUGUUCAUACUAAAAAUGGAAAACUAAAAUUCAAAGAAGGCAGACCGCUUAUAGCGUUUGCUUGGCGAAGUCUGCAGGCGAUGGUGAUGGUCGAAGGAAGGUGCGAAUGAUCAGGCGGCUAUAGCUGCCAUGGUAGCCACGCUGGAGCUGGGCGCCAGUGGUGGGUGGCAACAUGAAAUCGAGGAGCGACAGUGAGAGAGAAAGGUCGUGCGGGAAGGGGAGAUGCGUCAGGCAGCUAGGCGGCGCACGAAAUGGAGGUGCCGUGGCGGAACUUGGAGGCGUCGGAAAUUGGAUGAGAGCAGAGUGACGGCAGCUAUGGAGAUUGCGCUCUGUGAUGGCCGAUGAGCGGCUGUUGCUCUGUAUUUUCUUUGUGUCCCCUCUAGGCCAAGACCUUUCUCUGUUUCUGGUUUCACUUCCUCAAUCACCAGCCCCCAAAUGAAACUUUAGUCUUUUCCUUCGUUCCCCUGCCGACGACCCCUUUUCUUCCUUGACAGCUAAAAGAUUUUGGGCAGAAAUUUGCAAAAAAUAUUGUAGAAUAUUAGGGAUUUGGAAAAAUUGGGGAAAAUGUAUAGGAGAGAGAAAAAUGAACCUUUCCAAUGAAAACCUUGCCCUUUAAUGCUGGACAGCCAUGGUGAUGCUAGUGAGAAGCCAGAGAACGGAUUUGUUGUGUGGGUGAAGGUAUCAGGUGCCGUGUGGAAGCUCUGUUUUGUGCUCAGUGCAGAAGCUUGUUUGUUUCAGCUCGGUGAAAGUUUGUGUUGCUCAAGUGUUCCGUUGCUUUAACUCAGACCAAGUGUUCCGUUGCUUUUCUUUUCAGAAUGUGUUCCGCUGCUUUGGUCUUUGCUUUGCUUUGGAUAUUGUUUUUGUUGCGCGGCACUUUCACUAUGAUUUGAUCAAAAUUUUGACUUCACUCAUUUUCCCUCCAUUUGAUACCAAAAUUCAUGUUUUUUUCUGGAUUUGUAAUAUGGUUUGAACCAUAGAUUUUAAUGCUAUAGUAUUAUUCUUUAUUUUUUAGCAAAAAAUAAAAAUUUUCAUCAACAUAGGUGGCAAAAUUUGUUAAUUUCAUAUAAUUGAAAAUGUACUUUUAUAAUUUGCUAAUAUUUUAUACUAAUUUCUUAUAAUUGCAGCACUAAAGAACAUCAUGUAAUUCAAAAUAAUUAAACUCAAAUUAUAUCGUUAUAACAUAGUUUCAAUAAAAAUAAUCAUUUUCCCAACAUUUGAGACCAAUCAUCAUGCUUUUUUUAUUUUUAAUUUGGUUUGAAGCAUAGAUUUUAUUGCUAUAGUAUUAUUCUUUAUUUUUUAGUACAAAAACACAAAUUUUCAUCAAUAUAGGUGGCAAAAUUUGUUAAUUACAUAUAAGUGAAAAUAUACUUUUAUAAUUUGCAAAUAUUUUAGCCCUGCAAUUUUUUAUAAUUGCAGCACUAAAGUACAUCAUUAAUUGAAAAUAACGAAAGUCAAAUUCUAUGGUUAUAACAGACUUUCAUUAAAAAUAAUCAAAUGCUAUUAAUAAGACAUUAUUGUUAAGUCAAAAUCAAAGAAAAUUUAGUGAUGACAUAAUGUUAUCACUAAUUUAUUCAAGAUUAUAAUGACAAGAAAAGUCGUCACUAAUUAAAUUGCUAGUUUUUAAUAUUGUCAAUUGCUAGUUUUUAAUACUUUUGUGAAAAUACUGAUAAUGGUUGAGAAAAUUUUGUUACAUUACUGCAAGUGAUAAAUGUACUUUUGUUCUUUUUCAAACAUUUAUUUUAAUGUUUAAUUUUGUUUAAAACUAUUGUACUAGUAUAGAUUUGCAAAACAAAACUUAAGUUCUCAAUAGUUAAAAAAUUCAUUACAGAGAAAACACAAAGUAGUAGUUGCAAAAUGUGUAUAAAUUACAGAUAUUUUAAUGUGUAUAAAUUACAGUUUAUUUUAAUAUUUAAUUUUGUUUGAAACUAUUUUACUAGUAUAGAUUUGCAAGACAUAGAUUUAUGGGUAAUUUUUUUUUUUUGCUUUCACAUAUUUAAUUUAUGUUAAAUACAAAACCUACCAGUUUCCCUUUCAUAAAAAUAUUAGUGCAACACUUUUUGAAUUUUACUUACAAACAUUUAUGUAUUUAACGUAAAUUAAAUGAUUCAGAGUGAAAUGCCCAUAAAGAGCAGAAUAUUUAUUCAUGUAAUGGAGGAAACCCACAAGGAGUUGGUACUUUAUGGGCCAUUUCUUUUUUUAAAAAAAUUUAAUUUAUGUUGAAAAGAUAACCUGCCAGUUUUCGUUUUGUAAGAAAUCAGUGUAAUACUUUUUGAAUUUUACUUACAAACAUUUAUAAAUUUAUCAUAAAUUAUAUGUUUGAGAGUAAAAUGCCCGUAAAAAGUUGGUACUUUAAAUAGAUAAUGCUCAUUUGCCCAUAAACUACACUCCCUAAAGGCUAUUUUGUUAAUUAUUUUGUAGUACUUUGUUAUUCCUUUGCUAAUACUACUUGGCAUGUAGUACAAAGGAUAAAUCUGGCAUAAAUUUCUUAUUCCAUUGAUAAAAAGACCUGCCUGCCUUAUAACUAUUGUAAUGAAAGAUAUAUCUUUAGAGUUUAUAACAAAUUAUUACUUAAGUUUGAGAAAAUUAUAAAAUAUUUAUGCAUAGUUUAUCAAGAUACCAUUCGCAAUUUCCUAAUAAAAAAAUAGGGGCUAAAUUGUAAAAGCUAGGGUGCCAUAAUAGAAAUAAUAAAAUUGGUGUAUUACAUAUGGGGGUUAAAUUGCAAAAGUUAGAGUGCCAUAGUAGAAUUAAUAAAAUUGAAUUAAUAAAAUUGGUGAAUUACAUAUGGGGCUAAAUUACAAAAAUUAGGGAGUAAUAAUAGAAUUAAAGAAAUCGGUGCACUACAUAUGGGGCUAAAUUGUAAAAGUUAAGGUAUCAUAAUCGAAUUAAUGGAAUUUUUUACAACAUUUGGGGCUAAAUCGCAAAAGUUAGGGUGGCACAGUAGAAUUACAGAAAGUGACUUAGAAAUAAGUACUUUAAACAGUGACGAUUAAUUCUUGUCACUAAAUCCAAAUCGGUAGAGUGACAGUGACGAUAUUAGAAGUUGUCACUAUAUAGAUCAUUUUAGUGACAACUUUUUCAAGGUCGUCACUGAACACUUAGUUGCUUUGAGCAAUUAUGACAACUUUCCUUGUCGUCACUAAACAAUCACGUUUUGUGACGAAUUUUGUCGUCACUAAAAAAUGUUGUCACUAAUGACCAUAUUUCUUGCAGUGUAGUUUGUGACGAAAAUAACGGGUCGUCACUAAACAUUUAGUUGCUUUGAUGCAAUUAUGACAACUUUAGGUGUCGCGACUAAAGAAGCUCCUUUUGUGACGACUUAUUGUCAUCACUAAAAAAUGUUGUCACUAAUAAAUUUUUUUUUUAGUGAUCAGUGACGACAACAAAAAGUCGUCCGUAAAUAGGCCAAGCAAUAGUGAUGAUGUUCUUAAUGUCGUCACUAUUGUGUGUUCUAAACACUCCCGCGCUCUUGCUAAAACUUGGCGGGAAUUUACUAAGUCGUCACAAAUGGGUUGGCUCCCAUUAGAGGUUUGUGACGAGUUAGAAAUUCGUUAAUAAAUGAUCCACUUUUGUGACAACUUUUUUUCGUCACAGAGAAAAGUUGUCACUGAUGACCAAUUUUCUUGUAGUGACUACAAGAUCUCCACGGCAUUCAAGUGACUUAGAUGGGAGACUAUACUAAAUUUGCCGAAGCAUUACUAUCCCAAUCUGGUCCGGGAGUUCUACGCCAAUGUGGAAGACAAAUAGAGCCACAGUGGCAACCUUAUCAUCUCCUGGGUUCGAGGCAAGAGAGUGGCUCUCACUCGACAUACAAUCACCCAAAUCGUCAAACUAAAGGACAAUGGAGAAGAUGUUAAAUUGACUAAGGAAUUUAAGGCACGUGAUCCAUGGCAAGUCGGAGAAACUGUGGCACGUCUUAAGGGUCAAUAUCGGGAGUGAGGAAGUUCGAAGAAGCUCAUUGUAUACGCCGAUUCCUUUGAGCAUAGGUACCACCUGAUCUUCUAUCUCUUCGCCUUCAAUGUGGUACCAAAAAGGAGUGGAAAAAGGGAGCUCCGAAACGGUGACUUGUAUUUCCUCGAUAAUAUGAUGCAUGGUGUAGGUAGGCUGCUGACUGGUAUUCCUCUGGCCAGCAUCAUCAUCAGUUACAUGCGUACUACAGCUUGCAUGAGAGCCGACGAAACUUGCUUUGGGUUCCCUCGUUUGCUCUCCCUUAUUUUUAAGCAACUCAAGGUUCCUCUGGGAACCGAGUGAGCCAUUGUUACUAGGGCAGCCGAGGAAGUCAACGGCUCAGUACUUAGGUCCUUAGGUAUUCCUACGGAUUUUGGAGCUUCUCUGGUACAGGAUGUUGGAGAAGCAUCGACUUCAGCUUAGCCUCCAGCUCACACUGAACCACACCAGGAAGCUCAAGAGAUGGAGGCAUAGCAGACUCUCCCUCCUCCCAUUCCACGACCACCCCCUCCGCAAUGAUCCAAGUGGCAAGAGGCCCUCAAUGCCAUAUGCUGUAUGGAGACACGAGUCAUCAAGCGCAUUGAUCAGACGGAGCGGCUGAUGACGGAGCGACUAGACAGGCAUGAUCGCCAUCUUCGAGCGAUCGAGGAUCAUUUCCACAUUCGCCGCUCCCCUACACCGAUUCCUAAGCCAAGGCCCGAUGAGGGCAUGCAGAUCGUGAGGAGGGUGGCAGCAAUGCAGAUCAUGAGUUGGGCGGCAGCACUGAAGCGACUGAGCUUGGCGUCUCCUCUGCAUAAUUUACUUUCUUUUCAGCUUUUAUUUAGUUUUUCAUCUUUUAUUUUCGAUUUGGUGUUAACUUUUUGUUAUUUUUCUAUUUUUCUUAAAACUUGUGGAAUGGUCUCACUCUCUAUGGAUAUAUAUUUUUCCCUUCAUACAGAAUUUGGCUAGUAGAAUUUGGAUGAUCGUGAUGAUCGUGGUUUCAAAUUGCAUCACUACUUCUUUUGAGAGGAGUAUUAGUUUCUUUUACCUUCCUCUACAAUGAGGACAUUGUGAAUUUUAAGUGUGGGGGAGGGAUUACUUUAUCUUAUGGGGUGAUUGUGUUUUGAAGUGCAUGAUUUUAGUUAUUUAUGGCCUAGAAAUGUUGGAAUCAUAUUUGGAAAUAUUGUCAUGAAGAUAAUUUUCUUGAAAUUGAGGCUGUUGGCAGGGAGUUUUAUCCAUAUAUAUGGGGAAACUCUGUCAAAAUUUUUCUAAAAUAUUUUCCAAUAUUUCAUUGCAAUUCUUUCCAAUAAUGGCCGAAAUGUUCAAUUUUAAAUGUCUAAUUCUUCCAUUGGAUAAAAUGUUAUAUAUAUUUUGGAAAGUUUAGUCCUUAUUUGACUUGGCAUUAGUCAUUAUGCAAUUAGGAUUUUACAUUUUAGAAAGUAUAUUCGGUUAAAUAAGGAAAAUUAUGCUUAGAAUUUUGCAGGUUUAAUGAUAUUUCUCAUUUUUACUUAAUUUUAUAAGUAAGUGAUUGAUAUAGUCAAAACAAGGCCAGAUUCAUCCUUUAAUUAUGCUCAGAGGGAAAUUGAUUAUUAAAAAAAAAAAUUCUACUCCAAUGAUUCGCAUACUGAGUAACCGGGGGUUAGCAUUUACAAAUGUCGACAUUCGCGUAAAAAGGUAUUGGAAUUAAAAGUAUGCCUAGCAAUUUAAAUGAGUGAAAUGUUGAGUAACCGGGAAUCUUCACCUAAAAGUGUAGAUUUUCACGUAAAAAGGCAUUGUCACUAUUUAAGUAAAAUGAAGUAUAAAAAAUCCCUCUCAGUUAUGAAAAUUUUGAUGGAUAUAUGAUGAGAAAUGCCAUAGAAUUGACUAUGUGAUUUACUUAUUUGUGAAAUUAGGAUAGGAUGAGAGAUUGAGUUGAAAUUGUUAAAAUUAAGGUAUAAUUAUCUUUAUUUAACUUGAUAUUAUGAGUAUUUAGUGUAAUCUGAGAAUUGGUAUAAUGAUUGGUUUCUAGGUUUUGAGGAACUAAAAUUGACAAAAGUACGUAUAUUAUUUUAUCUCUUGAAUCAUUGUAGUAAGUUAUGUGUAAAAUUGCUUGAGGACAAGCAACGAUUCAAGUGUGGGGGAAUUUGAAAGAGAAUAUUUAACGUACAUUUUGUACAAGUUUGGCAUGAACUUUUGGUAUGUUUUGAGAAGAUUAAAACCAUAUUUGCACUCUUUUGGUGAUAAAUAUUUAAAUAUUGUUUAAGUGUUCAAAACUUGAUAAAUGAGUGGAUUAAUACGUUAAUUUUGUGAAAUUGUGAAGGAUAUUGAUAUAUGAAAUUCAUGCACGAGAUGAAGGAAAUGUAAGGAUCGUCCAGAGGAUAAAGUACAAAAGAAACUAGGAGCAAAAGUGAAGAAAAAGGAAAGAAGUGAAAAACUGGAAAUUGAUUAGCACGGAUCCGAGUUUGGAUCCGUGUGAACAAAGGGCGAUUCGAGCCCUCGUCUGUACUUCUGGAGCAGUGCAUCCAAGGCCAGACGAUCCAAGCUCGGAUCAUUAAGAGAAAGGCCUCGGAUCAGUCUUGAUCCGAGCUCGGAUCGUAGUGCACACCUCGGAUCCAAGGCUCGGAUCUACCUCUCUCUUCUGCAAGUGGCACAGCCAUUUUUUCUCAUUUUUCACACAACUUUUCAGCUAUCUUGGGUGAGAGAAUUCGGUGGCACAUGUUUCUGCAACAAAAAGGAAGACAAAAUGAGUUAUUGACAAGUCAAAACAACAUUUCUUUUGACUUUCUUUACAAAAUCUGAGUUGUUGGAAUCAUGAAGGAGAAGAAAGUGCCUUUCUACCACCUUUUAUGCAGAGAACCAAGAAGUCAGGCAUCACCAUAUGGAAGGAGUUUUUCAUCUUGUAACAUUUUUCUCUCUAGCUAGAAGUUCUAAAAACAAGCACUUGGAGAUUUCACUUGUAAUUAUCUUGUACAAGACAUAGCAGAAAUUUGAGGGUUUCAUCAUUAAUUGGCUACGCUUUUCUUUAUCUUUCUUGUACUUGUACUUUAUGAUGUUUUGCAUUAAUAAACUUGUGAGUUUGAUUGUUAUAUCAUUCAUGAGUAGCUAAAUUUCUUUAUCUAGAGAGUAGAUGAAACUUAUGGCUAAAUGAUAUGAAUUGAAUGUGAUUUAAACUUGUUAUAUCUUGUAUUAACUUGUCUAUUUGUGCAGUUGUAAUUACUUGUUGUUGUUUGAUCACCAAUAGCAUGUUUAUAGUUGUUAUUAAUCAAUGAGAAUUGGUAGUAACAAUGGAAAAAACAUGAGUAGAGCUUGAGUUGUAUGUUCAUGAAAAUAGAUGUACACUUAAGUGGAUUAGCUAGCAUUUCAUGAAGGAAAACAGAGUAGAACUAGUAUUUCACCAUGAAAAUAGGGAAAACUGGAUUGCUCUAGGCCAUUUUAUCAUGAGAAUGAGAUUUGGUAAUAUUGGAAAUGAAUCCCUGGUUAAACAACAAUAAUAACAAGAGAAAUUUAUUCAUUUGUGUUGUUUAUGCCAUAAGUGGAAUCUACAUCCCUAAAUUUAUUCUUGAGUGAAAUUUAUCCAUUUGCAUUUAGCAUUUGUUAAACUAGAUUUAUAGACAAUAGCAUUAUAAUUUCUCUACUCAAAUUCAUUUAUAAGUCUAAAUAAUAGAGAAAAUAAGGGUUUAGUACUUGUUUAAAUUGCUCCUCGUGGGAUCGACUCGAUAUAUACCUUACAUUAUGAUUUCGGCCUGUAUACUUGCAGGCAACGGGUAUAAAAUCGGAUUUAAACUUACAUUGAUAUAAAAAUCCCGUCACAUAUGUGAGAUCAAAUUAUUUUACUUAUUUCUUUUAUUCAUUGGUAUUUGUACAUUUUCUGAUUUAACUUCAUAUACUUGUUAUGUUAUUUGAAUGUCAAGGGCCCGAUAUUCGAAUUAACCUAAUAAUCUACUGUUAGAUUAAUUGAUUGAAUCCCUAAUUGUUCAAUUGAUUAAUACCAGUGGCAACUAGCGUGAUUGGUUUCAUGUUAGGGAAACGUAUGAUCUAACUUAAACGAACCCUCGUAGCGUGUUUGUUAAUUAAGGUUGGCUUUUCUAAUUCUUAUUGCAAUUGAGAAAUUAAAUCCUAUAGUCGUACCUAGGGUUAUUUUUUGGUUAGGAAAAUAGUUAAUGGUCGUACCUUGACUAUCGAAAAAGUAAGAAAAAGUUGGUUGUUUAUCGCGUGUAUAACAACUAUAACCAAUCUAUUAAUUAGUAAUUGAAUUAUCUUUGCAUCGAUGAUCAGUUGAAAGGACCAUGUCUGAAAAGUUGCACCUUUGGCUAGAGUUGUAUUGGUUAUUGAUUAAUUCCUGUUGAUUUCUAUUAGUUGUUUCAUUAGUUGAUUAAUUAGUUAUUUUAUAUUUUUCAAAAACCCCCCAUACUUCGGACUCUGGAAGAAAUGAAUUAUCCCCAGUCCCUGUGGAUUCGACCCUACUCACCGCUAUAUACAAAUUUGUAUUUUUCUUGAGUAGGUAAUUAUUAUUGCACAUGUUCAACACCUGUCAUUCUAUAACUGUAUACAGAGUCAUCUUUUUCAAAGAUUUCCCAUGCUGCAAAAUGUACUCUACGAGCUUUAUUUCAUCUUCCUCCCCUAUAAAUUGUCUGAUUCCAAUAUGCCUAAGAUGUUCAACAAAGCGUAAUGGGAAAACUAUUUGGAAAUGUAGAUUCCAGGUCCUUGUAUAUGCAAAGUCCUUCUUACACAACUUUACAUAUUGAGAAGAUCAAAAAUUGCAAAACAUAAUAAUACUUGAAAUUAGUGAGAAUAUAUCCAAAAGAAACAAAAUAUUAAUACCUGAAAUCAGGUUUUACAAUCUGUGCACAAAAAGCACCUAAACCCAAAUGGCCCAUGUUGGAAUAGACCAAGUUUAGUUCAACUGCAGAAAUUCCUAGUACAAUGGAACUGCAACUUCAACUUCAGUAAAUUGCAAGCUGAUAUUAUGAUUCUAUAAAUCCUAAAAUCUCCCCCAAGUCCUCUUGCCUCCAGCACAAAGUAUGUACAUAGAUGCUGACCUGUUCUAUACACUUGUAGGUAAAUUCAAAUCAGACGGCAUUCAAUAGAACUGCCUUGAUUUGGCUGCAUAUUAGCACUACUGCUCUUUAAAUCUAACUUGAUUAAGCUGCACAAAAAGGGAAGAUUACAUUCGAUGGAGAAAUUUUACUGAUUGCAGAUGAAAUAGGGGCUAAAAUCAACUAGGAAAAGCAGAGAAGUUAACCUCAACCGACGAGGAAACAAGAUGCAAAAGUCAGAAGUUGUUAGCUUAAACCUCAACCGAAAGAAAAAUGCAAUCUUUGAUAUUAAACACAUAACCCACAUAAGUUAGCUUCACAGAGUCCAGAAGGAUGGUUGGAACUCAAUUUUCCUAAAAUUGUGAGGAAAAUAAUGCAAUCUUAGAAAUCUAACACAAAUAAUGGUAAUAAAAACACACAAGAAGGGUAUGAAAACUUACAAAAUGGCGCCAAAAUAUAGAUCUAACAAUAUUUGAAGCAAAUGGAUGAAGCAUUGAAGUUGUUCUAAGAUUUUUGGGCAGCAAUAAAACCUAAGCUCCUUCACGUUUAGCAAUUCUUAGGAGAUAGACAGGAGGCGGGUCUUCUUUUUUAGCAAUUCCUCAGAGGUCUCCUUCCCGUUUAGCAAUUCCCGCAUAUGUUCUUCUAUUUUUGGACUAAAAACCACCGAUGUUGGCCUUUGAGAGAAGAACAGAUGCGUGCUUCUCAAUUGACAGAGACAAGAGAGGACCAACCUUUCUAUGUAUAUAUCCCUCAGCCUCUAACAAGCCUUUGAAUUUUGAUGGAAGGACGUUGCGGGAAAAAUAAAAUUCUUGGAGGGAAUAAAACGCGCGUCCUAAAUUCUGAUUUAAGUUUUGUUGUUAAAAGUUUCUAAGAAUUGAAGUAUAUUAUAAUAUAUAUAGAAUAAAUAUUGAGUAUUAGAAGUAUAUAAUUUGAAAGAAAUCAUGUGAGGACUCGAAAAUUUUUAUUAUUUUAAAAUCCCUAAUUUUGGCUCAAUUAAUUAAUUAUUUGGAUUUUUAUCACGAAUAAUAUUUUCUAGCCUUAUUAGACCGAAGUACAUGGUUUUAUAGAUUCGUUAUAUUUUUAAAGCACCUCAUUUCAAAAAAUUAUUAUUUUUUUUAAAAAGCUUGUUUAGCGGAAAAGUGAAAACGUGUCUAAACACUUUAGCCAAUUGGGAGUACAAUAAGCUCAAAAUUUGAGACCUAUACAAUGGUCCUAAAAUAGACAAUUUUAGGUUUAAUUAUACAAGUGAUAGCUAGUGGUACAAUCGUUAUAAGAAUUUUUCAAAGGUUUCAAUUUUUAUUGCGCCUAAAUUAGAAAUACGUGUUUGCACGUGCGCGCUUAAUUGAGGGACUUUGGACCAUUAUUUUGGGACAAUUAAGAAUGGAUAAUAUUUAUAUAAAUGUAAGUACCCUAGAGGUUUAGUGCACUAGUGCAACAAACGUAAGAGAAAUCGAACACAAAACGCGCGCGUAGGGUACUAGUUAUAAUUGAUUUGACGUAUUAAAAGAUUUGACGUCAAGCGUCUUUCGUACGCAAAGGCUUCAGAACCGCAGCUUCAUUUCAAUCUCAUUUCAUUUCUGCAAAGCUUCAUGGACGGCUAGACAGCAAGAGACAACCGAGGCUUCACCAUUUCUUUCUUCCAAAACUCAUCCAAAUCCUUACCAAAACUUCCAUAGAUUCUUACCAAUCUCCACAUUCAUUUAGCUUUUCACUUGGACGGCAACUUAGCUGCAAAAGGAAGGAGCUAUCCACGGUUUCUUCAAGCUUCAAAGGGGCCGAAAAAUCUGUCCAAACCAGUCAUCAAAGUAGGUACUAAUCAAGCACCUUGAACUUGUCUUAUGGAAGUUGAUCUAUGCAUUUGAGUUGGAAUCUUCACUAUAGUAGCUUGUAUUGUUGGAAACGUGGGCUCUAUGAACUCCCACUUUGGGUUGAUGGCUGUGAUGAUGUUUGAUGAUGGUUUUAUUGCUGAAUUAGAGCUUAAGGAAGUAGAUUAAAGGUGUAUUGUGGACAGAAACGUUGUUGAACUCUUGAAGUAAAAAGUUCCCAUUUUACCCCUGUUCUGUUCGGUCAUUUUAAUGCAGAAACUGAGGAUUUAAUGGCCUGAUUAUGUUGAUUACAUGUUGCAAAAGUUGUGUACAAAAUUUCGUUGGAAAAUAUUGAGUUGUGGUUGAUCAAACGAAUUUAUUUCAAAAACUAGUAAUCUGGAAAACGGUUUCGCCGUAAUCCAGACCAGUGUUUGUAUUUCGUCCAUAACUCCGUACUCCGACUUCGAAAUCAAGUGCCGUUAGCGGCAUUUGAAACUAGACGUUCCCAUGUUUCCAACGGUGUAUAAUGGACCUUCUGGUUUCGUGUGUGUGAGCCACACCAUUCAUCUGAAGUCGACUGUCCUGUUUCUCCGUUCUGCCGAAAUGAUUUGAUGAUGCUGCAACUUUAGGCUUGAUUUUGAACCAGUUGCAUGCUGAAACUUAAAACGAUUUCUUCUGUGAAGUUGUAGCCCUAUGAAUCUAUUUUCUAACACUAUCAACCAUUUCCAAUUCCGAGUUAAAUUGAGGGAGUUAUGAUCAAUACACGGCAACUGCCUCGUUUUUGAAAACCUUAGUUUUGGACCGGCUCAAUCCUGGUAAUCUAGAACAGCAACUUUAGGCUCAUUUUUGAAUACCAUCCACUUAGAUUCAUGGAAUGAUGUCUUCUAAGGACUUUUAGUACUUUUGAAGACGAUUCCAACGGUACCAAAUUCAUCAAGUUUCGAUUAGUAGAAAGAAAGUUAUGAUUUUUCAAAGAUUUGACCAAAAAUCAAAAAUUCUGGAAUUCCAGAGGAAAUCCGCGAAGGAACAAUUUUACCAGAAUCCGGCCUUGAAUCCGGCCAGUUUCUGGACGGAUUGUCGGCCGGAUUGGUGGUCAAAUUUGAAAAAAAGGGAGGUUACCCACGGCCAGAAAUCCGGCCGGAUAUCCGGCCGGAUUGUGACGUGGCCAACCCUCCUUCGAUUUCGAUCGUUCGUUUUGCAAUCCUUUCGCUCGUACUCAAUUCCAACCAAUGAUUUUAAGGAUAAUAAUCCGAUUUUCACUUAAGUCCUACACCCUUUUGAGAAUCCAACUUAAUAAACAAGUCAAACGAAGUUUUCAAAUAUUUCCGAACCUUACCCGUGCCCAAUCUUUCUCACCACUUGGGGACCUAUAAUAAUUGUCUACUAUUCGAUGUUCAGGCACGCACGAGGACCUCCAAGAGGAUCCUACCGUGGAAGUUUGAACUCUCCCUCCAACCUACUUACUUGCAUAACUGGUGAGUGUCAAGUGUAUGCCUACUUGAACUCUAAAGUCUUGAUUCAUGAUUGACUUACCUGAUUAUAUGCUCGGUCUAUUGGAUUUUGAAAAAUGGAGUCGAGUGUGUACUUAAUCGCACUCGUUCUCAUUUGGAACAAAUGACUCAUGUUUGACAUGCUUUGCAUGGUUUAUAUGACCUGAAAUACAUGUUUGAACCUGUCAAAUGCUUGAAUUUAUGAAAUGGUAUGCUAUGAUUGCAUACGUCGAUGGAGUGAAUCUCCUCGACAUUUACAUGAUACACGGGGGACGCCCAAACUCAUAGGCCGACCUUGGAACUCGAGCCGGCAUGGGCCUGGUCGGGAACCUUGGUGAGCCAUGAGAAUUACAUGAUAAGCUUGAUCUAUUUGAGAGAUCUCGCUUGGCAUACUCGUGAAGUAUCGCCUUAUAAGUGUCGUGCGGGCCCGAAGUGGUGUAUGGUGGACGGAUGAGAAGUAAGUGGUGAACUACGGAUAUGAAAAUAUCAACCUGGUUGACGGAGAGUCAUCACGGGGAGAUAUACAAAUGACAUCGGCAAAUGUGGAACUUAACUCCUGAGAGCUUCCAUAUCCUUGAAUUGUUUCUGGUUACAUUUUGUCGGCGUUAUUACUUACUUGCAAGUGAUUACCUGAAUUGUUAUUUGGGGCUUGUUAUUUGAAUUAUGUGUCUGCAUGUGUGUUCUUGGCCUCACGAGCGUUUUUGCUCACCCUGUAGAUUUGUUUUCCUUAACAGGUUUGAACUCGGAGGUAAAAUGGAGAAGCCCUCUGAUGUACUUUUGUUUAGGGCUUGUUAUUACUUUUGGUUAUGCCUUUGGUUUUGAAAUUUUACUUUUGGUAUGGAAAUGUAACCCUUGGACGAAAUGAAAUCUGUAUUCUGACGUGUGGUUUGGUGAAUGGAUGACUAUUAUUAGGUUUGAAUACUUCCGCAUUUAUUGUAUUUAAGUUAUUGGCUUUUGUUGUGUGGUCCGGCUAUAACUUGAAUGGAAUUGCUUGAGUCCUGGCGAGAGUUAGGCAGGCGUUCCGCGGAUACCCUUUGGUUCGCCUUAGGGAGAAGUGGGGGCGUCACAAAUCAUGUAUGAGAAAAUGAAACUAAUGAAAAUAUUCAUGUGCAAUCAAUAUAAUAAAUUGUCAUCUUUAUAAUUUUUAAGUUUGCAAUUCAUAAAUAUGGUAACAAAUAAUGUAAUUCAUGUGCAAUCAAUAUAAUUAUAUUGUUAAUUAAGGUUAUAAUUGUGCUAUAUAAAGUAUUUGGGACAAUUUGAAAAAUAUCGAGAAAUUUGGGACUACUUAUAAUAUAUUCAAAAUGUAUUUUGAUUAAACUAUACAACUUGUCCUUUCUUGUUGUAAAUCCAAGUUCAAUUAUGGAACAAUAUACAUGGAAAAGUUGACCUUAUAUGUGUAUAAAUCAUCUUAUUAAUAAAAUAAUUAAACACAAUACAUUUAGUUAACUAUGAUUUAGUGAUUGAUUAUUACAUCAUUUUUUAUAUAAUACGAUAAUUAAAUAUUACAUAUAUAAUAAAAUGUUUCAAAUAUAUUUUAAUUGAUCAAAAAAAUGGUAUACUUACAAUAAACAAAUAAUUAAAGAAAAUUUUGAGAGUAGAAUUUUGUGCUAAAAACGUGUAUUUUGGGUUCAAAUUUAUAACCCACCACUUAUCCACUUAGAAUUAGCAAAAGUAUUAAUUCAUUUCUAAAUACUCUAAACCAUACUAAUUUAUUAUAAUAAAGACACAAAACACUAGCUCCAUGUGAUAACCUAUAGCAAAAAUCAUCUAUUCACUUUAGUAAAAUAUAUGAGUCAAAUUUAAAGAUUCAUCAAAUUUUCUAGGUUUUAAAAUUGGGGUGCGUUAUUUACAUGGAUUUAAAGCUGUCUGAAUAUAGUUUACUACGCAAUAAACGGCACUCAAUUUCGAGUUUUCUACACAAAGAUAUGGCCAAAAUACUAAAAUUAUUACUUAAUUUUUUGAAAAAUAGUAGGAUCGUAGGAUCAUAUGAUCCGGAUCACGAUCAUAUUGAUCUUGUUAAUUUAAUGCUAAUUUUUUAUCCUACUUACAAUUUGGAUCGUUAACCAUGAUCCGUAUCGUAGGAUCGUAGAUCGCGAUUCUAGCAACUAUGGUUGUAGCUAAAAGUUUCUAAGAAUUGGAGUAUAUUAUAUAAUAUAUAGAAUGAAUAUUGAGUAUUAGAAGUAUAUAAUUUGAAAGAAAUCAUGUAUGUGAAAAAUGCAACUAAUGAAAAUAUUCUCAAUAUACAGCUGAAAAAAUAACUAAGUUUGAUAAAUUUGCAUUUAAUUUUUAGAUAGAAGUUUGUUGUAUGAUAUGUAAUUGCCAUUUCUUGAAAUUAUUCUUCACUCUUAUACCUUCACUAAACUUCAAAGAACUUAGCUACACAUAAAAUAGAAUGAAAGGAAUGCUUUCAAGUGUGCUAGUAAGUAAAUAUUUAUACUAUAUCUGUGCUAAUACGUGUCCAUAUGUAUAAUUCAAAAGUUUUAUGUAUUUCAUAUACGAAUAUCUUUUUUCAAGUAACUGCAUAGAACACUUGAUAGGUUGUAUUUUUGCCAUUAAUUUUAUGAUUAUUUCCCUCUUUAUUUUACCAAAUAUUGUAUUAAUUGAUAGAUUCUACUUAUAUUUGGUGCUUUAUGUUAAUUAUAGGACGUUGGGGUAAAAAGUGCUAAAAAAGGGUGAUUUUCUUGGAAUUGAUUGUCACUCGCAAGUUUCCCAAUUCAAGAUGAAGUCUACGUGGAUUAUUUGUGGAAGAUUAGGAAAUUACCAUUUUUCUUAGAUAUUUUAUUUAGAAAACAAUUGGCAUUAUUCUUGGAGUUACCUUUUUCAAUUGACCCGCUUCCGAAGUUACUUCCUUCGUUAGAGCUCGUUUAUCGUUGAUUUAAAUUUAAUCUGUUUUAGUUUAAUUAUUUUCAAUUUGCAUUGAUUAUUUAUUUUUAAUUGCAAUUUUCCAAACUCCCCCCCCAAUUAAUUGUCACUUGGAAAGAAGCAAAUUUUCACUCAAAACCUUGAGUUUAUAUCUUUUUGAGUAGGAAUUUAUUAUUACACAAGUCUGACACCUGUCAAUUAACACAAGGUUUCAAGCAAUGCACAGUUUCUUUUGUACCUAGAAUAGCUAAUGUAGCAAGUCAUAUGCUAGCACAUUUUGCAACAUAACUAGUUUAUGAUAUAGAAUGGGUACAUGAUUUCCCGAUUUGACUAAUAGAAGGGUGAAUGCCCCUUUUUGUAAUUAACUCUUGCACUUCAAGUGUUAACAUAUAUACUGAUUGUUGAAAAAAAAAGGAAAGUGUUUAUUUGUUUAAUCAAAUAGUUAUGGUAGUGUUUAUAUAAUUUCGUAAACAUUGAAAGGUAAAUGACCUCGUUGAAUUUGUAUAAUUUGAUUAUGUUGAAGAAACAUAUAAUCUUGGAAAAGCAGAGAAAUUUUCUAGUAAAUAUUAGAUAAACAAACAAGUCAUUAUUUUAUUUUGAUAGCUAAUCAUUGUUCAUAUCAAUAUACUAGCUAUAAAGUUAUACUCGCAAUACUACUAUUACGGUAUAAAAUUUCUUGUCAGAGCAAUUUAUAAUUUCAUCCCAUUUUUACCGUUGACUGUUAACCUCAAGUUCUUCGGAUAUCCAUGGGACAGUGUAACCCCUUUGAAGGUCAAUUCUUAUUGUUGAUGUGGCGUGUCCCACAUCGGAGGCUGCAUAAGGAAGUUUUCUUCCUUUUGUCCCACAUCGGCAAUCAAGAAGGAAAGCCUCCCCUUGUUUACCUAUAAAUAAGGGGGCUUAGUGGUGAAGAAAAGUGCACCACUCAAGAGAGUUAUAUGAGCUAUUAGCUUUUUGAGUCAUUUAUCCCAUUUGUAGUCAAAUGUUUUAUGUUCUCUUGUUUUGAGUUUAGGAAUAUUUUCUAAACUUUUUAUGAGUGCCUUUUGGCCUAGGAACCACUUUUCUACGGCUUUUGUAUAUCUUCUUCAUAGUGAAAGAUUUGCUCCUCCUCUGUCCAUGGACGUAGGUUAAUUUGACCGAAUCACGUAAAUUUCUGUGUCUUUUAUUUUGUUUUGUUAUUUGUAUUUAUUGGGUUGCCACAACCCUUUUAUAUGGUCAGUCUUACAGCCUAAAGUAUUAUAUGGUCGAUUUUAACUCCUAAACAUUAUAUGGUCGGUUAUACCGCCUACUUUGUGCUAACUUCAGUUUGUUUAUUUCUGGACCAGUUCUAACACUUACACCCUCAUCAAAGUUUCUGGAGUUGCGUAUUAUAGGGGUGCAAACACAAAAACGAGACAUUCUUAAUCAGAUGGAGUUCCUUCUUUUUGCGAUUCAUUCCUCUGCAAACCUCCUCCUCCUCCGAUUUUAAUAUAUGCCACUGUUAAAAUAGGAUACUUUUGUGGGUUUAAGAUUAGAUCGAGACGAACUCUUUUGUGCAAAACAUUUGCCCCAGGCAUCGUUACUACAGAGUAUGUGAUCCAAUUACCAAUGUAAGGUCACAAUGUUAGAGAUGUGAAAUUAUAUUGCAAUGGUCCCUAAAAUCCAACUUGAUCGAUAGGAAUACUAAUUAGGUGAAUACGAGGACUGUGAUUCGACUCUCGAUCUUUCCUCUCAAAUUACAGUAAUAUUUUUAAUCAUACACUCAUCCCCUUACUAACUUCCUAUGGGCCCAAUAUGUUGAGUAGAAUUCGAUUGGAACAACCGAAAAGAAAAGAAAAGAAAACAAAUACAAAACAAUGAAAUAGAGACUUAGUUAGUCAAGUUGGAAGCUAUGAGGAAGUGAGGAGCACAAGUGCGAACAGAUCACCAAGGAAAAAGAAACAAGUUUUUCGAGAAUGCAAUUUGAUUUCAAGCUCAAUCAUAUUCUAAGAGUCAAUGAUAAGAUAGAAAAAAUGUAGGUCCAUUGUUAAGAUAUAGACGGAGAUGGUUGCUUAUUGAGCGUUGGAAGUAUUUCAUAUGCAAGUUGUAAUUAUAUCUCAACUUGUAUAAUUUUAAUUUAAUAAGGUUAAAUUAAUGACCAUGUCAAUGAUUUAUGCGUCAUGCAUGACAUUCUUUUUUCUUGUACUCUCCCAAAAGCUGAAAAUUCUCGUCUCAAUCUCCUCCUCCACCGAUGGCUGCAUGUCUGUACAUGUUUCCCCACAACAAGAAUAAUGAAUCAAUUGCCAUAAUUGCACGCAUUUAAAUUUUCUGAGCUGGUGAUAAAUUGCAUAGUUUUGAUUUUUUUCUAUUUCCGGUUCCCACUCUAGCUACUUCUAGAUUUAUUAAUUGGAAAAAAAAAGAAGAAGGAAUAAAUUAAACCUUAUUUAAUUACUUUUUUAGUCAGGAUAUCUAUAGUAGAUGUAAUUAUCUCUAUAGAAAUGAAUGAAGCAUCCUAGCUUGUGAUCAUUAUCCUCUGUUGCAAUUCUCUUGUUCAAACUUCAAGUUAAGGUUUGUUUGCUAAUUUAAUGGAUUCAGAACUUAAAUUUAAUGGAUUCAAAUCUUAAUAUAUUCAAAUGCUUUUGAUAACCAAAACUUCAAUAUCUGAAUUAAUUAAGUGACACUAAAUUUUCUAGACAAAACUUACUCCUAAAAAUAAGUGAUAAACUAUUUACUUAUCACUUAAUGUGAUAUAUACUCAAAUGUAUCAGAUUUAGUACAUAACAAUUUAAUAACUUAAAGAAUUCAGACUUCAGAUUUCAGUUUUAUCAAACGCAUCUUAACUCAGUGCAAACUGAAUAUGAAAUCCAAAGUGGAAAAUCCAAGAGGUUAGAACUUUGAAACCAUAGGGCCUCUAGGCAAAUUCAGCAUUUUUACAUUCUACUGAUUUAGGGCAUCUUCAAUUAUCAGUUUCAACUCCAUGGUAUAAUAUAGAUAUUACCUCUAAUAGUUGUACACACUUACGCAACAAAUAUAGAUUGUGAAAUUAAUUGUAUAAGUUUGAUAUUUUGUAGGUUUUGGGAUAUAAUUUUCACGUUUAGGAAAAAGAAAAUAUGUUAGUAAGUAAUAAUGUGAUACCCCUUGUCCCACGUUGGAAGUGGGAGAGGAAAAGGAUUGAUAUAUAUACAAGAUUUGGUCGCAUAAGUUACUAGUUACUUGGGCUAACCAUGUCGGAAAGUGUAUUUCGACACAAAAAUUACUUAGGCCAACCAUGGGCUUGGAUGGUGAUAAAUAACUUACUAGAAGCCAGGCAUAUUUAUGUUUAGAUGUCCUAAAAGCAGAGUAGUUCAUAAUCUAGAUAAUGGUAACGAUAUGAUGAGAAUGUGAAGUUAUUUGGUAAACUUUAUAGAUUAAUAAUUUCAUCAAAGCAUCAUAUACAAGCAUGAUGACACAAUCUCAACUUUCAUUCUUUUGUUAAAUCUUAGUUUUUUUCUCUUAAAUUUUUUCGAAUAAAGGAAGGAUGGAAUUUAAGCAGUAGAGGGUGGAAGGGGAUUUUGAAUUCAAAAUCUCUAAUUUCUAAGUUUUUCCCUAAGCAAUCGUCAAAAUAAAAAAAAAAUUUAAAAGAAAAAAAAAUGAGCACCUCAUGGUCAAUGCUCCUGUUCGAAGAUUUAUUCCUUUGGUUUGUCAUCAUCUCCCUCUAUGAAAUCUAAGUACCCUUGGUUGACAAUUUGUUUCCCUGAGCAUCCAUCAACACUUUUAUAUAGUAUUUUUUUUAAUAUAGUAUUAGAUUAGAUUAGAUUAGAUUAUCAAUGCACCAUCAAUAUAGUAUUAGAUUAUCAAUGCACCAUCAAAACACUUUUAUAUAGUAUUAGAUUAGAUUAGAUUAUCAAUGCACCAUCAAUAUCCUUAAAUAUAAAAGCUUAAGUAUAGUAAUCAAAAUACUGUUAGUAAUCUGUACGAUUAUUUUUUAUCCUUUAAUGUUUUAGUUUUAGGAAGAUCACAAAUGCUGCGUAUAAAGCAUGCCAUAGGCUAAAUUAAGCUAAAUUAAGUACACUGCUAAAAUGGAGAGCAUUGCUAAAUUAAGUACCUUAAGAUAAAGACAUAAGCAGCCAGAUCCAUUUGAUGUCAGCUGCUUCAAUAUCCACCUCAAAAUAAAUUAGCCUUUGUUCUAGAUUUAGCUUAAUGCUAAGUCCCUUCACCAUUCUUAGUAAUAAUUCAAUUCUGCCUCAAUUUUCUUCUGAUCUUCAAGGUAAAUGUACGAUAAAUUUCAAAAUAUAUCCCAAAUAUAUGAAUUUCUUGAAACCAUCCUUGAAUCUCAUUACCUACUCAACAAAAUGUUCCAUAAACAUAAAGAAUUGACGAGAACAACAGGGCUCCUUAGAUUUAACAAUUUCAAAUAAGCCCAAGCUAGAAUUUUUCAUAUAUUCAAACAAGAAAUUGGAAAAAUCUGACUAGCUUGCAACGAGUACUACAUCUCAAGACAAAGGAUCUUUUCAGUCACUCUUUUAUUGUAUCGAAAACCUACUUGCAUCUAUGAAUAAGCAAUACUGUGUGAUUUUAGAUGUGAAGCUAAUUCCAUGUGGUAGGACAACUUUGGUUUAAAAAAUAAGGGCAGUCCAAUUCACUCAAUACAAAAAAUAUUUUUAAAUGAUGAUAUUCACAGGAACGUCUAUCUUACUUAAACAAACAAACAAAAAAAAAACAAUAAAAAGGAGAUUGAUUUAGAAAUGUCCGGAGACUUGAGACAUGGACGCUUCAUUAGUCAAUAAUAAUAAAGUCCGGAGACUUGAGACAGGGACGCUUCAUUGAGACUGUUGUGACCAAUUCAGCCCAUAUAGGUAAAAGAAAUGGAAUAAAUCGACAAGAAAUGGUGUCAUCACAUUUUAUUCCACAUUUACCCUUAUAGACCCUAAAAGAAAUAUUGUAACAUAGGACAAACUUUGUCGCUCCGAAGUUGAAUCACUUUUCUAUUCUAUAUACUAAACUUCAAUUUUGGACACUUUGCAUCUGGUUGGAGGCAAAAGCACAGGAAAGCCCUUUUUGAAUGGAAAUAGCAUAAAAGUCUUAGUGAAUGAACAAAUUGAAUAGACCAUUUUGCAGAGCUGUGAGAUAUUCCAAAGCCGUGAAGCACAGUGAUAAGCUACAAAUUAUAGUGGUUUAUAUUUAUUAAUUGUCAAUGAAUGGUUGUAUUUGAGCUAUAAUUUGAAUGGAUGUUGCCUAAUUUAAGUAUAUGUUGGUUUUUGUGGGAAAAGCACGCGAUUGAGGAGGAAAUGAAUCGAAAACGCAACAAAAGGGGAAGAAACGUUGGGUUGCCAAGACACAAGGAUCCGCGGGUGGAUCCUGUGUCCGACGCCAAACAUUGAAAGGGACUUUGCGAGGACUUCUUCUAGUUCUAAUGAUUGGAAAACCCACUAAAACUCGAUUUUUGGCAAGUUUCAAGACCCAUUCUUACCAUAUUUCGGAUACAACUUUCAAGACCCAUUCUUAGUUCAUCAUUUUUAUAUCUUCUUUUCUUGAGAGAUCACAAUGGAAUUGUUGAAGAAUCAAAGGAAGUUCAAGAUGGAGAUUGGAGCGGGGAAAAAUUAAGAAGUUUUCUUUACUUUUAACUUCUUAUUUUGUCUUUCAUUUGAAUUCUUGGAUUUAUCUAUGAAUAUGUUGAACUCAUUUAUAUCUAAAGUUAGGAUUUUGUGAAGGAGAUUUAAUUAUUUGUUCUAGAUAAAUUAUUCGCUUUUGCUUAGAUUUAUUUAUCUUGCCUUUAUUACAUGUUUAUGUUUUGCCACUAUAGAUAUGCUUUUAGGAUUUGUAUUGAGUUGAGAAGCGAUAUACAACCGUACAUUAGAUAGAUAAACAUACUUAGUAUAAUCAUGAAAGUAGGUUAAACAUUGUAUGGCAUAAUUAUAUCACCUAAGAUUUUAAAAGAUUUAAUUAAAUACUUAUAAUCUGAAGAGCAUCGUGAGAUUUAUUAGACAAAUUUAGAAGUAUCAAGAGAUAAUCUAAAGUACUUUUACGUGAUACGUCUUUGACUUGUCAAGAAAAUAAUUGGAUAUAUAAUUCCAAUUCUGAAUCAAAAUUUGAAACUCUGUUUUUUGCUAAUUGUUUUCUCACCCAUAUCUUGUUUGAUUUGAUUAUUUAUUUAAUUUCUUAAUUAGUGAUUAAAAACCCUCUGAAUUUAAAUUUUGUUAUUUUUAUUAGAGGAAUUAAAGUAUGAAAAAUUAACUCACUGCUGCAGGUUCGACCCUACAGUACUUCAAGGGAAUUAUUAUUACGAUCGACCCUGUACAGUUAUAGAAAUUCAUCGAUCACACAGCAACUAAAAAAAAUUAAUGCACAAUAAUGUCAUGAGCAGAAACAGUUCGCAUCUUAGCUGUUCAUCAUUCACGUAGAUUUCAAUUAGUGGUCAACAAAUAAAGGCAUCGAAAAAAGUAAUCCAACUAGAUAAGUGAAUUUAUACUACAACAUAUUUCUUUUUUCUACCGCAAAAACUUAACUAAUUUACGACAAUGUAGUCCAAGCUAAUUGAAGAUUAAUUUUCCCUAAAAAAUGUUCAUGAUAAAAACUCGACAAAGAGAUAAUACAACAGCUUACUUUUGGAGAUGAUCUUAUACGGUAUUUAUUAACAAACCAAUGAGGAGCGACAAAAUGUACAUAGGUUCCCUCCAUAUAUUAGCCACUUAAGCCUUUUUUUUUCCUUUUGGGACUACACAUGACAAAAUGAGGAGUGAAUAAGUCACUUAGCAUCAAAAAUUUUCCCUCCAUAUAAUUAGUUCAACCUGAUUUAAGACUAAAUUUUUACUAUAGGAAUGUUAGUGAUUCAACAAUGAAACACCAUAGAAACUUAUUUUGGGAGAUUGUCCUAGAAGAUAAAAAAUGAGCAACCAAUCAGAAUCCAUUCAGUCUAAUUAAUUCACCAGCUAUGUAUAUUUCAUCCAUUUUCACAUUAUAGAAAGAACAAUAAUGCAUGGCUUUAUCCAUCAUAAAUUGCUCGUAUAACAUCAAGAUAUUCAUGGUGUGGACCGCAAAUGGCUCGUCAUGUCUACUGGCUACAUUUUAAACAUAUCUUAUGGCCAGAAUGAUCAUCUUAUCAACUUAACGAGUUUAUUCAUAGUACCAUACCAUUAAUUUAAAAAAGUUUCAACCUUUUACCUUCUAUAGAUGUCAAGGAAUAUAGCUAAUAACGCACUUUUGGCAGCAAUCUUCCUUCACCCAAUUAAAGAUUUUCGGAGCUUAAAGUUCAGCUCCUAAAGCUCUUCUCCAAGGCUCACCAACCAACAGAGAAAUUACUUUUAGCAAAGUUGUUAAAUUUUGGCAACAGGUUUUGAUGGCAUCUUGGUAAGAUUGGAAGAUUAUACUGCGCUUCUAAGAUAAUGUUUAAAAAAGCUAUUUUAGUGAGGGCAUUAUGGUCAAUUUGCCCCUGAUGAUAUUGACAUUAGGUCCCAUCAACAUCAGAAGGGAGCUCAUUGUAUUAUUGGAUAUAACAAGGGUGCUAGUGAAAUUAUGAAAACCCCAAGGGAGGUUUUUGAAAUUAACCCUAAAAUACUCAUUCCACGCGAGGCGUGGCGUUCCCCUCCUAGUUCCUAUAAAUAGGGCACCAACUCAAUGCACUUAUCACUCGAUAUCAAUAAUUUAGCACAUUAUUUACAUUUUGAGUGAGAUUGUGAUCAAAUGGCAUCUUCAAAAAAUUUGCUCUUUCUUAUUGGUGUUCUCUUUGCACUUGUGCUCCUCAUUUCCUCUGAUGCAGCAGCUGCAGGUGCCUAGUCCUUUUUUUUUUUUCCUUUCUUCCUUUUUUUUUUUGGCUGCACCUAAACACUUAAAUGAAUGGAGAUUUGGAGACUCAUUAUUGGGAUGUGAAUUUUUAUGGAAGUCUAUUUGCAUAUUAUCUAGCAAGUCAUAUUAAUGUGCUAAUAUCUUUUUCAUUGUUUAGCAAAAGUAAAUUUGGGUUGCUUCUAUCAAUGGUUAGUGGCACAUCUGAUUUUUCAUGCAUCCUUAUAGUAUUGCUGUAAGGAUACACGUUCCAUAGUGUCGCACCAAAGAUUAAACUAACGUUGAAAACCAAAUUAAAUGCUUCUAAUUAUAAUUUAAAGCAAAAUAAUUCAUAUCCAAGUCGCACCAUCUUAUAUGCCUGGACUGUUUUGUUUAAUCCAUAUUCUUUUCUUUGCAUAUAUCUUGCAAAUUUUCAGCCUAGCCGGUCACCUAACGUUCGCAGCUUAAGAUAAAGCUCCAAAUAUUUAUGUCUCCUUGUGUCUUGAAACAGAUCAGAAGAGCAAUAAAACCACUGGUGUCCACGAUGCCAGUUCAGGCGAGGUUCAUCAGGAUAGCAUAAGCGAAGAUCGUUGCACAUAUGGUUGCUGCCGCUGGUACAAUGGAUAUUGCCAAAGAUGCUGUCCACCUCGUGAGAAUUGCAGAUAUGGUUGCUGCAGCUGGUACAAUGGAUAUUGCCAAAGAUGCUGUCCACCUCCUGAGAAUUGCAGAUAUGGUUGCUGCCGCUGGUACAAUGGAUAUUGCCAAAGAUGCUGUCCACCUGCUGGGUAGACCCCUGAAGCUACAUCCGGAGAUGAGGUCAAAAAUUAAUGCUAAAUAAAUAAGGGUGUGACACAGGAUCCGUGACACCUAUAUUAUUACCUUAAUAUGUUAUGUUGUGUUUG
rnacentral:lncRNA from 1 species